rnacentral:lncRNA from 1 species
AUGUUCUUCAGUUUCAGUGCCCAACAGCAUGCAACAAUCUUUGAGGUUUUCGAUGGCCACAGAAACUCGUUUCCUUGCAUCUUCAAUGAGAUACCCAACUGCAUAUCUCGUCAAGUCCUCGAUUGGAAUGUUGUAAUCUUCUGGAAAUAAACAACAUAUCAAGAAACAUAACUUGGUUUCCUUGCUCUUCAAAUAAUCAUAGCUCAACUUAAGACAUGCAUAUGCAGUUCUUUGUUCAUCAAUGUGUUCCAUGUCCAGAAAUUGAGAGUUUUUUAGCUGUCUAAAUGCUACUUCCCACUCAACUUCAGAUUUACCUCUUAGAGCCCUUCCCACCGUCACAAGUGCUAUAGGCAAGCCUUGGCAUUCUCUCGCAACCUCCCUUGCCACUGUGUUCAAGGUAGAGUCCCCAUCACGUAAACCUGCUUUGAUUCUGAAUAAAACCAAUGCUUCAUCUUCAGUUAAGACUCUUAAAAGCACUUUUUGCUGGCACUCCAUAGAAGAACAUAUGGCUUGAAGACGUGUUGUUAGAAGAAUUUUACAACCCCUGUGAUCAUCACCAAAUGGGAUCCCUAUCUCUUUCAAGUCAAUAUAUUUCCAAACAUCAUCUAGGAUUAUAAGCAUCUUCUCCACUUCCUUCAGUAUAUGCCUUAAUCGAUCUGCUCUCCCUUCUCUACUCUUUUCUUUAAUAUCCAGACCUAACUUAUCUGCCAUUCGAUCCUGGAUGUCUGUGACAUUUGGAUUCUGGGACACCGUAGCCAUCAAAACUUCAGGAAAAAGCUGCAACUCUUUGGCUCUCCUGCCUACUUCUUUCGCCAGGGUGGUUUUACCCACCCCUCCCAUGCCGCACAGUCCGAUCAUAUUGACUUUGUCAUCUUUGAGAGCUUCCAUAAUCUGUUCGAAAGCUUCUUCUGACGAUUUUAAGGGCGUGAAUUCCUUUGAUGGAAGAAAUUCUAUGGGCUGAGGAUGAGCUUUGUGGGCCACUGUUUUAAACUUUUCGCUACUUUCUCCAAGUUCUCUGAAAGUCUCCGACUUCUUGGCCAGUGCCUUGCUUAACUUGAAUUGUCGCAUGCAGUUUGGACACCAAGUGAAGCAUUUGCCAUUUUUUCCUAUUUCAUUUUCCAAGGGCUUCGCACCUUCAAUCUCGUUGUUUGCAUCUUCCAGCCACUGUUUGACAUCUUCGUAAAUUUCUUUAGCAUUCCUUUCAGCAGCUUCAACAUCGUCUUGCAGACCAUCUAGUGCUAAAGCAAGGUUCUCCUUUCGUUCUUUGAAUUCUUCAACAAAAGUGUUGAAACAGAACAUGUAACGGAACUGCCUUCCUACUGGUUCCACCAUGAGUUCUGCUAUCUUAGAUAUAAUGGAUCCACCAGCACUUUCGAGAGCCAUUUUCCACAGGUCUGAAAAUCAAAGAAAUAAGGAUACAGGACGUGAGAGUGAGUCACUACAAGUAAAACAGGCGCAGAGAGAAUGGGAAUAGGAAUUCCAUUACCUUAAUUUGGGAAAAUAUGUGCGGAAAGCACUGGUACUGAGUGCUCAAUGAAAUAGCGGGAGGAAGAAGAGGAGAAGGCCUUUAGCUCUGUAUGGAAUCCAGCUUCAAAAGCAACAAGGCAAGGAAUAAGUAUAACAAUAUAAUAGUUUACAUGGAUUCUAACUGACUAUUGUGAGUUAAAGCAGUAGUUUUGAGUUAUAGCUUUCUUUGAUAUUCGAUUGCUGAUUUUAAGCUAAGUUUUUUGUGGUUUCGCUUUAUUUUUUCAUUCACUGUUUCUUGUAAUUAGUCAUUAUAUUUUUUUUUCAUUGUUUCUUGUAAUUAGUCAUUAUUGAUAAUAUGAGAUGGUGAGUAAUUGUUAAAUAAUUAGUUUUGAGUUUUUAUUAUUAAGUAAUUAUUAUAAAAUUAGGUUUAUAUAUAUAUAUAUAUAUAUAUAUAUAUAUAUAUUUGACAACUUUUUGGCUGCUGAGACGUGUCGUUGGAGAUGCUGUACUACCGUGCGCUAUUACUACUUCUUGUCGCUUUCAAAUAGUGAUUUUGGUUGAUGAAAGUAAAAAAUAUUUAAUUCAAAGUCAUGUUUUAUAACUUAUUAUGUUAUUGUUAGUUUCUGAGUUUUUUUUAUUCUAAAUUAAUUUUUUUUAUUUUUAUAUUGAUAUUAAAAAUAAUUUUUAAAAAUAAAAAAUAAUAUCAUUUUAAUAUUUUUUUUAAAAAAAACUACUUUAAAAACCUUAAAAUCACGGCAUGAUAAAAGGAGAAAGAAAGGAAUAGGACAAAGAAGGAAGAAUAAAAAAAAAAAUCCUAAAAUCACGGCAUGAUAAAAGGUGAAAGAGGAAUGGGACAAAGAAGGAAGAAAGUAAGGUCACGUAGGGGCCAGCCUUGUAGAAGAUAGGAGAUGAAAAUUAGUAUGAAAAAGAGGCUAUUUGUUUUUUUACUGUGUCAGAGUGGUUUUUAUAAUUAUAUUUAAUUUAUAAAAAUAUUUAAUUAAUAUAUUUUUAAAUAUUUCUUGUUAUUUUAUAUAUAUAUAUAUAUAUAAUAUUUUAAUAUGUUUUUAAAUAAAAAAUUAUUUUCAAAAAGUAUGUGUCACAAUACUAAAUUAUAGCAUAAAUUAAAAGAGAAAGGAUUUUUCUGUUUAUUACUAUUCAAAUUUCAGGGUAAAAAUAUGUUGUGACAUUGUAAUUGUUUGCAAAGUUUAUUUCAGUCCCUUAUUUUUUUGAGCUACUAAGUACUAAUUCCCUAUAAUUUCUCAACAUUACAUUUUGUCAAAGUUCAGGAACUAAACUGCAAUUUUUACAAAUUAAGGAACCAAAUUGAAAUUUUAUUAUCUUCAACCUCAAACCCAGAAUUUACACAGAUAGCCUACUGAUAUAUCAAGAUUUCUAACUCAAAUUCAUUAUUGAAACAAACUAUAACUCAAAAUCAUCAUUUUUUUAAAAAACCUUUCAAAAUCAACUAUAUAACUCAUUAUCCAUAACAAUUCACACAUAAUUUUCAAAUCAAUUCAUCAAUCAAACCCAAAACACAAUCUUCAAAACCCUAAUAUUCAACAAAACAAAAAAUUAAAGCUAAGGAAAACACAUUUAUACACAUCAAAACAUAAAUCUUACAUCUUAACUUAUUUUCUCUAAUUCUCUUCACUUUUCUUUAUCUUUUCCUCUUUUUCUUCUUUCACUCUCACGAUUUUCUUUCUAAGAAUUCAGAUCUCUUAUUUUUUUUCUAUUUAUAUUUAUCAACUUUUUAUUUAAUUACUACAAUACCGUUUAUUCAUUUAUAUCUACUUUUAAGCCUCCAAGAGUUUUGUUACCGUUUUCUAUUCUCUUUUAUUUUUAAAACAUCACAAUAAAAUUGUAUUCUUUUUAUUAAGCUGCUAAUUUAUGCAGCUUUAGCUCUUGUUCUCUUUUCAUGUUUAGCAACUCUGAUCUGAUCCUUUUCUUUGCAUGAUAUAAGAGCAGGUUUCUUACCUCUUGAAGUCUGCUGGAUAAACCUAUCAGCAGAAGAUCCUGAACCGAUCCCAAAUCACAGCUUCAAUCCCCACCACAACCAAUCUUAGCAAAUUCAGCUAUCUCAAUCCUCAAUUUUCAAUUGAAAAUGCUAAAGAAUUCCCCAUUGGUAGCAAAUAAUAAAUGUUAAGCAUGAUAAAUCUUAUUUAAAUUAAAAGGUCAAAAAUGAACGCAUCUACUCUUGCCAGAAUGGACUAAAAUCCGCAUAAUUAAAUAGUAAUCUUACUGUAAACUACUAGGAAAUUCAUGGGUAGAGCCAAAAAAAAAUUAACGAUAACAUUGAUUGGAUCAAGUAAGGGGCUCCGGUGUCUAGAGAGGACCUUGCCGUUAAGGAAAUAACCAUAGAAACUAUGGAGCCCACUAUUUAUUACUCCAUUUCUAUUUACUACUUAUUACUAUUUAUUUAUUUUUAUUUACUAUAUUUUUAUUUGUGACACCUACUACCAAUAAAAUUUGAGAUUCCUUCAAUUUUUUAGGUGCACGCAAGUCUAAUGGCUUCAUGUACAAAAUCAAUUCAAUCGAUAAUUAAUAAAAUGUUUCCUUCCUAUUAUAAUAAGUCGAGGUCAACAUGUGAGUUAAUAGAUCAAUCCAAAUUAACUAUUUUUAUUAAAAUAAUAAUAUUUUUUUCUUGAUAUUGAUUUGGCUAAUUUUUAUCAAAUUUUAUCAAAUCAGCUGAAUCACUAAAAACUUAACCAAAUCAAAUUUCAUCAAAUCAAUAAUAUUUUAUGUAUUUGAAUUAAGAAUUCAAUUCAAUUCUAGCUCUGAACCCUGAGUUUUGUUUGUUCAAUCUAGCAUACAGGUUUAACAAAUAUGCUUCGCACUUGCAGCUGUGGUUAAUUUGCUGCGGGCAAUUGAUAAUUGGGAGAGGCUUUAGUUUCGUACCUGUUGUUCUGCUUCGUAUACACUAGGACCUCUUAUUUUAUUUUAUAUUGGUUGAAUCCAAACUUAAUCCAACACAAAAUUAACAUAUUUAUUAUUUAUUUAAGAUAAAUGAUAUAGCUUUAACAUAUUAGCGUACACUUAAUAUGAUUAAAUUUAAUUUUAAUUUUAAUUAAUUAACAUCUCACCGUAAUAAAUUUUACCAUUUGCAACCAGAAAACAGUCGACACCUUAUUAAUAUAAUCAAUAUAGUAGAAAAAUUAUAGUGAUUUAAAACAAUUCAUUAAAAUGUUUGUAAAAGUUUUUAUUUUGUGACGAGGGUUUUCGUGUUAUCUUUUAUGUAUUGUCACUGUAAUAAUAUGUUUCUAGAUUAUUUUUUAAAUUCAUCUUCUUUCUUUUCAAAAUAAAAAAGAUUAAAAAAUAAUAAUAGUAAGAAAACUAGCAUUUUGGCAAAAGCAUGCUGGGAAAAUUUCAAAUGUAGAAUUGCAAUUUUGGAUGGAAUUGGAAGCUUAAUUGUACUUUAUUUAUCCAAAACUGGAGAAACAAUGCAAAUUCAAUGUCAAGUUAAAUGAUUAUUGAACGAAUCUUUAUAAAAAUUAAGCCUAAGGACAUAAUUAGAUUUUGAAUAGGCUACUUUUAUUUAAUCAUGGGCCAAAUUAAAUUUUAUUUCUGUUUAAGAAUUUUUUUAGGUCCAAUUGAAGGAUUUAAUUAGAUGCAAGGACUUAAUUUUACUUUAAAUUGAUCAAAUUAAUUUUAUUAGGUGACUUAAUUGGUGAAAAAUUAAGUUUGGGAGCCCAAUUUGGACUUAAUUGAGAAGAUUGAUAUUUUAGGAUGUUGUACAUGGACGCGCAACAUCGGGGGGUCAUUUAGAGUCGCCACCUAGUUGUUUAGUUCAAGGUCACUAAGAAACCUAAGUAUACUAGUCUUAUUAGAGAUUCGAGAGUAAACGACUAGUUGUGGGUAAAGAAUGUAUUAACACCCCUAGCGCACCCUACCCAGGUAAGUUACUUUGUGAUUAGAUGUGGUUUAGAGAUUUUGAUGAUUUUAUGAUAUAUCUAUAGUUUAGGAUUGAGAUUUGCAUGUAUGAAUAACUUUGGUGUUUAAUAAUUUAUUAUGGACUCUUGUACCAAGAUAAAUUCUUAGAAAAAAAAAGUUAUUUGUAAUUUGUGUAUUAUGGUAAAAAUUAAUCUCAAUAAAAAUUGAUAAAUAUUUAGAAUAACUUUGAGGAUUUUCUGAUCAAUUCCAAUUUUUCAAAUAUCAGCCUCACUUAUAGGUAUAGCGUUUUAUAUCAAGAUUUUAACCAUUAAUUCUCAUGAAUUAAAAAAUAGUGGUCUAUUAAAAUAUUGACCAAAUUCACAUAAAUUUAAUAAACUAGUUAUUAAAUUCUAAAAUGCAUAUUCAUAUAUAAUAUUUUAAUUUGCUUUUAAAUAAAGAAUAUUUUUAAAAAGUAUGUGCCACAAUACCAAAUUAUAGUAUAAAUUAAAAGAGAAAGGAGUUUUCUCUUCAUCACUAUUCACUUAUAUUUAUUUCACUAUGGAAUAUGGAUAUUAAUAGUGAAUUUUUUGAAAAUUUCCAAUUUGAUACUCAAUUAUUUUUUUUUCACAAUUGAGCUUUUUUAAAUCCAAAUUAAAGCUUAAUUGCAUAUUUUUUCAAGGAUGAGGGUUGAAUUGAAAGAUAUAGAACUGAAGUGAAAAACUCGACUAAAAUAAGUUGUGGCUUUGCAAUUUGUUUGCAAAGUUCAUUUUAGUCCCUAUAAUUUUUCAUCAUUGUAUUUUGAUAUCAAACUUUGUUUUCCUCUGUUUUUAGUUUUUUUUUUAGGAGAGAGAGAGAGAGGAUCACCAUAUUUUGUUUUAGAGAAAGAAAGUUAUUCUUGGGGAUUUUGGCCAUCAAUUUUCUAGGUGAUUUUGGUUAAAAUGAGCUGAAAACAAGUUGUAGUUUACAACUAGAUUUUUUAUCAAAUUGGUCAAAGUUUUUUUUAGUUUUUUUUUUUAAAAAAAACAAUUCAACAAGAGAAAAGACUUGUAAAAAAAUAGAAUUACUGAAAGAAACUCAACAAAGAAUCAAACUCAAGCAAUUAAAAAUAAUUGUCUAUGAUGACCAUCUCUGUAUCACACACUCAGGUAAAUAUGAUUGACCUAUAACAUAAAUAAAGCCCUGCAAACAAUUAAAUUAUGCUUCAAAAGCAACAAGACAAGGUAUAAAGUACACCAACAAAAAUAGUUUACUAACUGACACUUGUGAGUUAAAGCAGUAGUUCCCAUUAAAAAUGCAUUUUGAUGACAUAAUGAAGAUCAUUUAGAGACGAAUGAUGUGUAUAAGUACUCACGCAAAGAAAGAAACGAAUGAAAGGUUCCGAUAAUCACUUAGACGCCUCCAUGGAUGAUACCAGCUCGCUUCCAACAACAAAUAUAAUUAACCUAAACUAUGAUCGGUCAAAGUUUUAUUUUAGUAUCCCCUCCUCAAUAUUCUUAGGUAUUAUAUAAGUUCCACUAACAUACUCCCACAUCUUCUUAUCCUUAAAAAAAUUUCGCAUUACAUAGCUCCAAUACGAAUAGUUCUUCCCAUCCAACCUCACAGUCACAGACUGAAGCGAAUCAUCUCUUUCAGUAGUCAUAAUUAACAAUCACAGAGAACCAGAAUGCAAAAGUAGCAGAAAACAAAAUAUCAAAUUGCAGAAACUGAACAGAGAUUGCAGAAACUAAACAAAUAUCUUCUCGAAAUUAUACGAUUACUCCAAAACACAAAACUAAUUUGUAGAAACUGAACGUAAAUACCAAAUUGCAAAAGCUGAAGGGUAAACGAAAUACCAAAAUAAUUGCAAAAACUGAUGAAAUAUCAAAUUUUACAGAAGCGGAAGACAAGAUCUCACUCCAAAAAAUUUUGGGAUUAAGCCUCGUUUUAUAAAACCAGCUCUGAUACCAUGUUAAAUUAAUUGAGAUCAAAUAGAGAAAGGAGGCUAGAAUUCUGAAUAAUCUGUAUAUUAUGAAUGCUUAGUCUUAACCUAAAUUCAAAUAAAGUAUAUAUAGAUCAAACUAAAAGUACUAUUCUACCCUUAAUAAAUAAAACUGCAUAAAUAUUAUUUCACAUGAAUCACUACAAGUAAAACAGGCGCAGAGAGAAUGGGAAUAAGAAUCUCAUUACCUUAAUUUGGGAAAAUAUGUGGGAAAAGCACUGGUACUGAUUGCUCAAUGAAAUGGAGAAGGCCUUUAGCUCUGUAUGGAAUCCAGCUUCAAAAGUAACAAGGCAAGCUAUAAGCAUUUUGAUGACAUAAUUAAGAUACUAUGCGUAGUAAUAUAGAGACAGUGACAAAGAAAUAAAGAAAAAUAAUGUGUAAAAGAACUCGCCUAGCAAAGAAAGAAACGAAUGAAAGGUUCGGAUAAUCACUUAGACGUCUCCAUGGAUGAUACCAGCUCGCUUCCAACAACAAAUAUAAUUAACCUAAGCUGUGAUAGGUAAAGUUUUUUUUAGUUUUCUUUUUUUUUAAAAAAAAAAAACAGAUCAACAAGAGAAAAGACUUGCAAAAAAGUAAAAUUACUGGAAGAAACUCAACAAAGAAUCAAACUCAAGCAAUUAAAAAUAAUUUUCUAUGAUGACCAUCUCUGUAUCACACAUUCAGGUAAUAUGAUUGACCUAUAACAAUAUUAAAAAAAAACAAAAAAAAGCUAAUAGAUGGUCGCCACGUGUUCAACUUUAUCUACCAUUAGGAAGGGAUAGAAAGUGGGAGAGAGAGAGGUUAAAAGGCUUAAAAAAAAGAAAAAAGGAAAGACAGAAAUAAAAGAAAGGUUGAGAUAAGAGAGGGACGUGGAAAUAGAAGGAGAGGUUGAGGGAGGCUGCAGAAACGGAAGAAGACAUUGAAAGAUCGGAGGAGAGUAAGAUAAAAAUAUGAAAAUGAGAUGCUCGUUUAUCUUUUUGAUUGGGAUUUUUUUGUGCCUUUGAUAAAAAUACUCUGUUUUUUUUUUUUUUUUCUCUCUUUGAUUGGGAUUUUCUUGUCUCUUUUAUUUGGAAAUUUUUUGGACACUUAUAUAGUUAGAAAACAUCAUGUCUUUGGGUAUCACACUUAUUUUUUCUAUGAUGACCAUCUCUGUAUCACACUUAUUUUUUGGCAAUUGGCCUUGGUAUUUUGUUUCCAUUUUCUCUAUGUUUCCUUCUUCUGUAGUUAGAAAACAUCAUGUCUUUGGGUUUGCGCUUGAUACUGCAAAAUUAAGGACACAAUAAUCAAAUAACACAGAAUUUUAUAAGUGAAAGGGGUUGCAGUUGUGAACCUAAAAUUUACAAGUUUAUUUUCUCAAUAAUAAUAAUAAUAAUAAUAAAAAAGAAGUUUGCCUUCUUAAAAGGUUUACAAAGCCUUAAAUAGAUUAGGAACCUUACCUCAACAAGGAAACAGAAAAAAAAAAACCAAAAUUAUAAAGGAAAGAAGCAUAAAAUCUGAAAUAAGCAAGAAAUGAAAAUAACAAAGAAAAUAACAAAAAACUACCAAAACCAGGGGCAUCAUUGAGAUUUUUAAUAUCUAAACAUCUGAUGAUCUGUAUAAAAAUUUGAGCACAUUAUUCCAAUAAUCGAAAAAACAAUUAUGGCUCUUUUGAGCUGUUAUUCUAGUUUAGCACGAUCAAACAUUCUCUUGGGUUUAGACUUGUUCUAUUGGUUCAUAAAUGCAUUUACUAGGCCAUCAACAUUAAUUGUCUGAGGCAAAUUCUCAUCUAGUUGUGGUAGACUCACACCUGACUGCUUAGAAUCACUAGUUAUCGUAGGAUCGACUACAUUAAAAUUGACUGGUUUUUUGUUUUCGAAGAGAUUUAAAAUUUGAUGCAGAUGAAAGCUAAAAACACAAUAAUUAAAGAGCACAAAAAAAUUUAUAAGCGAUAAAGGCUGCAGAUGUGAACCCUCAAAUUCACAAGUUUAUUUUCUCUAAAAUAAUAAUAAUGAAAUUUGUCUUCUUAGGAGGUUUCCAAAACCAUAAAAAUAUCAAGAAUCCUACCUUAACUUGGAAACAAAAACACAAACUCAAAAUUACAAAGGAAAAAAGCAUAAAAUCCAAAAUAAGCAAGAAAUUAAAAAAUCACAAAGAAAAUCACAAAAAACUACCAAAACCAGAGGGCUCAACAAGAUUUUUGAUAUCUAAAGAUUCAAUGGUCCACGCAAAAUUUUUUGCAUGGUCUAACGGUUAGAUAAGAAAUUGUGAUCCUUUUGAGCUAUUAUUUUCAUCUGACACGAUCAAAUAUUCUUUUGAUCCUAUAAUUGUCCUAUUAGUCCAUAAAUACAUCUCCAUGACCUAUCUUUUUUUUUUUUCCUACUAUAGAUGGUGUUUGACCAUCAUCGUCAUAUGGUUUGACUUAGUUGUACUGGUUUUUAAUAAGAUGAACUUUAUAUAUUAUGGGUUUACAUUUACUAUUUUUAAAAAAUGUUCAUUAUCGUUUCGAUCCCUAUAAGUCCAUUGUUCACAACUGAAGUCCGUACCUGCAGCGGAUCACAGGCAAUGAAACUAUACAAACACACUAGAGACUCAAGAGUAAACAUUCUACUAUAGUUAGCAGGUAAGGGUCCAGGUCAUUUGUUGUCUGGUUUCAAAUAGAGUUUCAACUCAUUUAAUAAAUAUAUAUACAUGGCUCAUAGUUGGAUUAUUUGUGUUUUUGUUAUUUGUUCUUCCCAGUACUUGUACCAGAAGCUGCUCUCAUAUUUGAAGGAAUGCAAACAAUAUAUUGUUAAUAUGAAACUUAUGAUGCCUAGGAAAUUGCCAUUUUUCUCAUUUUUAAUUGGAAGAAAAAUCACAAGUAUGUUUCUGUUAGAAAUAACUUCUUAUUUCAAUCAGAAGUGUGUCACUAAAUUGAUUUAUAAGUAAGUUUUUAAAUUGUGGAUUAUAUCUUAAUUACAUUAUAUUUUUUUAUUAACAAAAGUUUAUUUGAGUUAUUUUUAUUAAAAAUACUUAUAAUUUAAAAUUAUUUUAAUUCUUUUUUAUCACAAAUUAUUUAUUAAAAACAACUUAGAUUAUCGCUUGAAAUAAAAAAUUCUUAAUUCAAAAGUCAUAUUAAAAAAAUUCUAGGUAUCAUUUCAUUACAAUAAUUAAUUUCUUACUUCUUUAGCCCUGCAUCAAGAGACAUGGAAUGACACAGUUAGACAACUCCUUUUAAAUUUAGUGGAUGGCUAAAGGAUUUAUCUCCACUCAUCAAUUACUUCAGUUUCAGAAAUUUUUUUUUCUUUUAUUUUAUCAGCUUAAUUUUGCAUGUGGAAUAUUGAGUUUUCUGUUAUUUUUUCAGACACAGAAUUGAAUCCUUUAUAUAUUCUUAAAACCAAAUUUGAAUUCUAAGUUCCUAAAUGAAGGAAUAAUAAAGAUUGUUGCAUGUACAAAUUCUCCUUCAAAAAAUUAACAAAUAAUAAAGUCCCCUAUGUUAAUGAAGAUUUAAUUAUAACUUAGCCCUGUAAUUUCUUAAAAUUAAUUAUUUAGUCUUUUAAGUAUCAUGGAUAAUUAAAAAAUCUAUUAACUAGUGUUGACUACCCUCCAUUUACUAUAUUUUUCUCUUAAAAAUGCCUUCCUUCCUAAUGAAAUUUCCCCAAAUGCUUUUCUUUUCCUUAUUCUAUUUUUCAAGAAUGAAGAAAAACCUUUAAAUGGCAUUAGGUUUUUUUUGCAAAUGAAAGAAAAAUAUAUCCUUUACAGUUUUAAUUCCAUCAAAUUAGAUGUUUAUAUUAUAAUUUUUUCAUAAAAAUCUUAAAUAUCUUAUUUUUGAUCGGCCAUCAUUAUAAUUUUAAAUUCUGAACUAAAUGAGUUGAACUUUAAACAAAUUAAUAUAAAACUUCAAACCUUCAAAUUUUCAAGACACCAUCUCUCAAUCUCAAAAGCAGAAACAACCCCUUCUCCAUUUAACCGAAUCUCAUAACUCUAGGAAAGGAGAGGGAUAUGACUUUUGUAAAUUGAUUUAAUAUAUUUUUAACUUUUAAUUUUUUUUAAGUAUGUUAGUUAAAAUAGCUUUUGAUUUAAUUUUUUUUUGUUAUAAAUUGAAUUCAAAACUUUGAUUUAAUAAUAAUAAAAAAUCUUAACUUUAGUUUGUGGAUUGUAUACUAAAUUCCUUAAUAAAAAUAGUAAUUUUGAAUCUUUUUUACAAAUAAUGCUUAUAACUUAUGGUUAUUUUAAUUUAUUUUUUUCAUAAAAAAAAACUUUUAAAUUACAGUUCAAAGCUACCAGAUUAGGCAUAUAGCUUAUGAAGGGUUUGUAAGCAGCAAACAAUUAAAAUUAGAAAUCAGAGGAACAUUUAGAGGAUAGAAUAUUUAGAAUCUCUAGCAAUAGCCAGCAAUGUAUCUGCUCGAAAAAACCAUUAAACAUGAGAUUGUUCUGCUAGAAAAACAUGAGAUUGCUCUGCUAUUUGAUAUCAGUUUCAAACUUCUGAACAAAUAAUACAGCAUCAAGUCUCAGUCAUCACAUGCCCAUACAAAAACAUUUAUUCCAGAUCUCAAGCUGCAUUGCCAAGCCCGUUUCCAAAACCACAUAAGCAUAUGCAAUAGAAACAGAGCAUCAAACUGACUGAGAAAGCAUGAGAAUGAAAAUCCACACAUUAAACAAGAGUAAACAUUAUGCCUUUAUUUUUGAAAGGUUCACACACUUCAAAACAAACACGAAUGGGCAAGCAACAUUCGCCCUUACUUCUGGAGGCUUGUACGAUAAUGGGCAAGCAACAUUAUUUUUUUGAGGUUCGCACAGUAAUGACUAAACACACAACAUUACAUUACAUGGGUAAACAAGCAGAUAACCUUAUUCACACAUAUAUAGAUAAGUCGUUAUCUUCUUUUGAAAUCACACAUAGCAGAUAACCAAACGAGGGAAUAAGAAAUCACAGCAUCCGAAACUGAAGCAGACAAUACUUGAUAAUUGUUUUAGCGACAGCUUCUUUAGAUUAGGAAGCACCAUCUCCUUCUCAACGUUGACAGGUGAUACAUGAUCAUCCUGCCCAAACACUCCCAAUAAUUGAGAGGCUUUUGUUACUCUAAGUAUUUGGAGCUAUGAGAGACCUGAAGCCAUGGUAACUGGGAAGAGGCUCUUCAACAUGUUACAUUCUCCAAUCUCAAUUUCACACAAAUUGGGAAUGCAUAAAGAUUGGAGAUGAUCUCCUAACAAUAUCUGGUCGUUUUCAUCAUCAUCCUUAGCAAUGAUUCGCUUGAAUUCCUCACAGGACAGUAUCUUUAGAACUUUCAGUUGAACUAGACUGACAAUCAUGCUGCAUGUGAAUACCAGUGUCAGUCUCUUACACUCAACCACCUCCAAAGUAGUCAAUUUGCUCAGCACGAGACCCUUCCAUAUACACCUCAUGUCAGGCAGGGAUUCCAAGCAUAAUUUUUCCAAAUUUGUCAACCCCUGCAUCAAAAGAAAACAAGGAUACCAAUUUGUUAGAUAUAAUUCCUAAUAAAUUUUGUGCACUUUGGAACUAUAUAAUUUUGGUAAAUAGAUGAACGAAUUGUCCCCACUAGUUAAGCCAAAAACUUAUCAACAACAGGAUAUGAGUAGACAUGGCAAUAGGGCAUGAAAAGUUGCAGGACUGAAACAAACAUUGGAGAAAUAUAAAGGACGUACUUGGAGCUGCGCAAACAAAUUUCCCAAUUCUUUGUGGCCAUCAAUGUUUAGAAUUUGCAAAGAAGGCAAUUGAGCAGCAAAAUUCUUUGGACCAAAAAAGCUGCAAUUUGAAAGAGACAAUCCUCUUAGCUUAGGGAACUUGAUGAUUCCAUCUCUGGUGAGUGCAUCUCCUUCUCCAGUGUAAAAUUACAUUGUCAGCAAAAUCAAUCUCCAUCUCUUCCAGGUUCAGAAGACUUCGAGACACAGAGACAGGGAAGGCAUAUUCCAGUUUACCACAGUAACUUAUAGAGAGACUUCUUAAUUUUGGGAAGCAAAGUCACUCUGUAGUUAUUUCCCUUGCAUCAUCCUUUUCUCUGAUAAGAUGCUUCAAUUCACCGCAACUACCUAUGUUAAGGCUUUCUAGCUUUGGCAGACUUUGAGCGAGGGACAGUGUGAAGAUAAAUAUCAGUUUGUUGAGAGAAAUCAAAUUCAGAUCAGCAAGAUUUUGGAGGCUGACAUGAUUGGCGGGCCCCUUCCAUAUACAUUUGAGCUCAGGUAACUUGAUCAGCUCUAACUCUGUUAAAGAUGACAACUCCUUCUCCUCACUGCUUCCUUCAUCAACGUCACCCAAUUCAAAUACCUCUUCCAAUGAUUUGCAGUCGCAAAUGUGCACACUCCUUAGAAUACUUGUCUCAUAUUUGUCUCAUAGGUGAGUUAGUUAAUGUACGUUGAUUGAGCAGAAGGUAGUGGGCUCAAGCUAUACUAGGAAUAAUAUUAUGUUUUUUCAAAUUACUAGCAAAGGCGUGUGGGCUUGUUUAAGGCUCACAUGCACGUGCCUGAGUUUUGUUGUCAUAGGACGAGUCAUUAGUUCGGUUUUUUUUUUUUAUUAGUCAUUUUAGUUUUUAUUUUUAAUUUUUUUAAUAUAUUUUUUGAAUUUUAUUCUUUAGCAUUGAGUUUUUUUAUUAAAUUAUAUUUUUUAAUAUUGAGUUAAUGAUAAAUUAGUUUUUAUAUUUUUUAUCAUGUAAUAAAAUAAAAAAAAUUAAUUUAACUCAAUAUAAUUUAUAAUUCGAGUGGGUUGAGUAGAGUUAACGUGAACUAUUUUAUUUUUUUUAUUUUUAGAUAAGUAAAAGGCAAAUUAAAAAAACAAAGUAAUCUCAUCUUUUAGUACGGUGGUCCAAGAUGCACCAUGAUAUGGUUGUAGUUUAUUUGCCUUUUCCUUUUAAAAAUGUUGUCUCCUUUGUAAGGAAUCCUUGGUUCCCAACAGCAAUUGUAGCAGAGUUGAAGGUUGCGUAAAACAAUUCUCUAAACUCCACCAAAAGUAGUGGAGCGUUAGAAUUUUUAAAAGACAAAACGGGGACAAGUGGGAGACGAAGAAAAAGACAAAAGUAAUUUAAUCUUGAUGUGGUGAUCCAAGAUACACCAUGAUAUGGUGUUCUUCCAAGAAGUCUAAGAUACACCGUCGUAUUGUUUCAUAUAUAUUUAUAUAUAUGACAAUAAUAAAAAAAACCGUUUAAAACAACUCUGAAAACAAAAAAAUUUAUAAUUUAUAAUUUAUAAAACAUGCGAUAAAAUAAGUCAUAGUGAAUGUUUUCAUUUGGCAUUUAAUUCCAUGAACAUGACCUUAUUCUUUGAUCAAAUUGCUGCGAUACUCGAAACUAAAUUGAAUGUUACUGACUAGCUAUUGUUUCUCAUUGGCAAGAAUCAUUGCCAAUUAUCAUAACAUGUUAGUGAUUUAUUAGAACUAGUUCUAGUAUCUCCUAUCUCACUCACCAAAUAUCAUUAUUUUAUUCAUAGCCAUAUGAGAGUUAUUAUCCAACCAUUUUCAAAUCCAUUCAAAACCUUGGUAAAUCAAUUUAUAAAACAUUCUUACUUAUAAAAACUUGUAGGUCUAGUGUUACCAAUCCUUACCAAUCCUUAUCUUGAGCUUAUACCUAUUCCAUUGAUCCACAAAUAUAUUUACUAAGCCAUCAACAUAAUUUAUUUGGGGCAAAUCCUCGUCUAGUUAUAACAGACUUACACCUAACUGCUUAGAAUCACUAAUUAUUGUAGGAUUGACUACAUCAAAAUUGAUUAGUUUUUUGUUUUCAAAGAGAUUUAAACUUUUGAUGCAAACGAAAGCUAAAAACACAAUAAUCAAAGAAAACAAAAAAAAAAUAUAAGCAAAAAGGACUAUAGAUGUAAACCCUCAAAUUCACAACUUUAUUUUCUCUAAAAUAAUAAUAAUGAAGUUUGUUUUCUUAGAAGGUUUACAAAUCCUUAAAUAUGUUAGGAACCUUACCUCCACUAGGAAACAAAAAAAAAAUACAAAAUUACAAAGAAAAGAAGCAUAAAAUCCAAAACAAGCAAGAAAUAAAAAAAAUAACAAGGAAAAUCACAGAAACUAUCAAAACUAUAGGCCUAAACAAGAUUUUUGAUGUCUAAAGAUUUGAUGGUCCACGUAAAAAUUUGAGCAUGAUCCAAUAGUCGAAUAAAAAAUUAUAAUUUUUUUGAGCUGUUAUUCUAGUCUGACGUAUCUUUUUCUCUUUUUUUCACUAUAAAUGGAGUUUGACCAUCAUUGUCAUAUAGUUUGACUUAGUUGUAUCGUUUUUAAUCAGAUCAACUUUAUAUAUUAUGAGUUUACAUUUACUAAUUUUAAAAAAAUGCUCACAAGUCCAUUGUUCACACCUCAAAUUCAUAACAGCAGCGAUUCGUAGGCAACGAAACCAGUUAGAGACUAGAGAGUAAACAUGCUAUUAAAGUUAGCAAGUAAGGGUUUAGAUUAGAUUAUUUGUUGUCUUGUUUCAAAUAUUAGAUCAGUCUCAACUCAUUUAAUAAACUAGUGGUGCAUUGAUCCUUGCAUUAAUAAACCAGAAUCUGCUCUCAUCUUUGUAAGAAGUCGUUUUGCUGCCCACCGGCGGCCAUCUGAUCAAAGAACAAUAUUAUAUUUUUUAAACUCUUCACUCUCAUAAAAACAAUUUAUAUAAUUAUAAAUAGGAAAAAAUAGAAAAAAUAGGAUUAAAUAUUUUUUAGAAAUUACAUAUUACUGUUUUAGUUUUUUUUCUUAAUUAGAGGUAAGUUCAAUAAAAGUAGUAAUAAUUAUAUUUUUGUGAAAAAAGGUUACUACAACUCCUAAUAAUUAGUUUCGUGUAAAAAAUAAAAAUAAAAAUAGUAAUACGUUAACAAAAUUUUAAAGAUAUUUUAAUUCAAUUAAGUAUUUCAACACAAAAUUUAUGUUCUUAUACAGUUAAAUAUUAAUUCUAAUAAAAUAAAUAUGAUUUCUAUGUUUAAAUUUUGGUAUUAAUAACGCAUACAACAAUGAGGCAGUUAAGUUUCUUAGAUAAAAUAAAAUCAUUUUAAAAAUAAAAAUAAGCUAGUAUGUUUGUUACAUAAUGAAGAAAAUUUAAUUUUUCUUCAAAUUAAUUUUUUUAAAUCGUUUUAAUAUGGUGGUAUCGAAACUAAAUUUUAAAAAAAAAUAUUAUGAAAAGCAAUUGUUAAUAUUUGUUAAAACAUUAUUGUUAAUAUUUCUAGUCGGUUGCUAUAUAUAUAAUGGCAUGUAAUUGGAAUAAUAUAUGUUAACUUGUACACAACUUAAUAAAUUAAUGAGAAAACUAAAGUAGCCGGUCAUGUCGGCGCAAUGGACCUCAAUACAAGUUGACAACAUUUUAAGUGGAGUUUUGCAUAUUUUUGAAAGUUUUUUUAUGCAUUUUAAUUUAGCCAAACCUUAAAAUAGAAUCACACCCUAAUCCAAAACAAUACACACUCCAACAAUGUCACAUGUUUCUAUUACAAAGUUUCCAUAUGUACAAGUAAUCCCCUGAAAUUAUGAAGAUGGUUCAACAAGAUGAUUCAAUACCGCAAUUGUGAUUUUUGAUGCAUAGCCGUAAUGCCUCAUAUUUUUAACGAACCAUAUAUAACACCUCAUUUUAAAAAGGGGAUUAUUAUUAUUAUUAUUAUUAUUAUAAUAAUGUUGUCUGCAUAUAUAUAAUUAACUGCCUUAAAAAGGGGAUUAGUAUUACAUCACUUUACGUGCAUUAUAGCUUUUAACUCUUAUAUUCAAAUUAUUAGAUCAGUGUAUGCGCACAACAUUUGAUAUUUUUAACCACACGCAUACAUGAAAUAAAACCAAUGGAAACAUGACACAAAUGUCAACUGCAACUACAACCUGAUCAAAUAUUUUAUGUUUUUUUUUUGAAAUAUUGUUAUAGACAUAGAAUCAACGAGAUUAUGUGACAUUCUAUAUUGAUUUUGUGAUAUUUUAAUCACUAAAAGUAUGGGUUUCAGAAAAAUAAAAACCAAACAAAAAAUUAAAAAAAAUUAAAAUUUUUCAAACCAACCCAAUCCAGCAUAUCGAUCGGUUUUGUUCUAGUUUGGUUCAGAUAUUUUUUAGCUGAAACAAUUAAUAACCAUUUUCAAAAAGUAACUAACUAUUGACAAGUCUUUCAUCGAAACCAUGUUCAAAUCAGGUUCAGGUUGCUAACUCAAACUAACACAAUCCAAAUAUGAAUGCACAUAGACUCUGGGUUGGUUCUUUAUUGAUUUUCAGAAAUGUCAAACUGAAACCGAACCGAAAUAAAUGAAUAUUUCUAACUGAAACGCUUCAAAUACUGAAAAAAUGAUCGGUUUUGUUCAUGUUUAGUUUGGUUUGGUUUGGUUAUAGAGAUACCCCUGACAAUCCGCUUCUUCACUCAACCUCAAACAAUAAGCACUAUUAUUGUGUCUUUAAGUGAAUUACUAUAAAUAUAAAAAUAUAUGUGGAUAAUUGAAAAUUUGCUUAGAGUUGCUAAUAAUUCACAACUGCAACAACCAACACGACCAGGUAAUGCCCGGGAAUGGGUCUUUGGUGCACAAUCAUGACUGUAACCAUGAUUUAAAAUCAUUUCCACACCAUCCAAGACAAUUGGUAUUGGAUUGUUAGCAACAAUUCAGUUUAUAAUAAUAAUAAUAAUAAUGUUGAUUCUUUUAUCUCCUACUUAAUGCAAGUGUCCAUCGUGUGCUGAAAUUGAUUGUUUACCUCAUAUUUCUUUUAAAGGUAGAGAUUUCUUGGUUGACAAUGGGAAAAGGUAAUCGCAUGGUUAUUUUCCAUAAGAUUCAUUUGAGUAAAUAUUCUCUAUUAGAGGUCAAUUUCAUCGAAGCAAUUACUUCAAUGAACACUUCCUAAUUACCAACCUCUAAGUAGUCAUCUCCCUUAUCCUAACUUUUUAUUUCCUAAUAAAAUCUCACGGUUUUUCAUCAUGUUCAAAGGAAAAGUUGACCUUGCAAAUGGUGCUCUAAGGAACCAAGUAAUCCUAGAACUAAUCUCAUCAACUCCUUGUUGCACAAACAGCUUGUCUCACUUAAAGGGGAUUUUAAUGAUGAACAAACACCAACUCCUUGUUGCUCAAAUACAUAUGCUCAUUUAAACACAAUUUUGCAUUACCUAGAACUGACAAGGCCUAAAAUUCCUGACAUAGAAUUUUGUUUUAAAGGAACUUCAGGAUUUCUAUAUAGGAUGCUUGGCCUCAUUAAAGACAAACUGAGGACAUCCAUAACAUAAAUUAUCUUCCUUGCCCCAAAGUCAGCACAGAAAAACCCUGUUCACUAUAAAGGUUCUGAAUGUUUUUCCUAAAUUUCAUGAGCUGGCAUUCAACACAUCAAACUCCCAAUUUAGCAUUCUUAUACAAACUACAACUGCAGAAGGCUUGUACAUGUAGGGGAGGUAGGAAGAGCUGCAAAGUUGUCGCAUCUAUUGUUAUGCUGUUCAGAGUUUCUAUCUCAUCAUCCAAUCUGCCAAAAAUAUAAAAGAUCAUGUGCAUGAAUUUGAUCUCAUCAUAUGCCUACGGGAGAUACAUGACCAGUGAUGGUUGUUCUAUGCACAAAAUUAGCUAACAUAUGACUAUUUUAUUCAACUACCAUUUCACGAUAUGAGUUCUCCUAGCCACACUCAAAAGCCCUAGCCGCUAUAUGAACAAAGCACCUAAAAAAUUAAUCACCUACCUAAUCUAAUUCAGGAAAAUUUGGUCAAAAUCUCCUACAAUGAAACGAGUUAUUUGAAUGCAUAGACAGGAAAUUCAGGUAAACACACACCCACACACACACACACACACACACCUGAUCAUAAAUUUCCUAAAGAAAUUCUGAAUUGUAACAUUGGUAAACAAAGAGUGACAAUAUCAUCACAUUAAAAAUGCAUUUCACUCAAAACAAUUAAUAGCUCAAGAAAAAAUUUUGCAAGAAGCCAAUAGAGAAUAAAGUAAGCAGUCCAUAAACAAGAGACAGAGAGACAUUGUUCCAAUAGAGAAAAGUAAUUAAAACCCAACAACUAAAACUGAGAAAGAAUCAAACCAGUGAGUAACUAAUCCUUUUAAAGCAUUCCAAGAAUGGCAACCAAAUAUAACAUAAUCAACCUGCAAAAACAAACACAAAAAGAAUUAGAAGAAGAAACCCCAUUAGUUAAUAAGUUAAAACAGCAGCAGCAGCAAAAAGACUCAAAUUUUAGUUAUUUGGACUUGAGAAAAAGCACUGAACCCUCUGUGAAAAUGCCAUGAAAGGGGUGCUAAGAAACCAGGAAAAUAAAAACUUUUAAAAGGGUGUUUUUACAAAGCAAGAAAGAAGCUAGGAAGCAAGCCAGCCUACGCUCACGAACUCUGUUUGUUAAUUGUUUUUUCUCCUGUGAAGUGAAAACAAAAAAAGAAAAAGAGAAACAAAAACAAAGAGCACCCAGAAAAUCUAGUCAGAAAUAUUUUAUGUUGUUGUCUUGGAUAGACGCAGAUACCGAGGAACAGUGUGGGGCCACCUUUGGUGAGCAGUGAUACAGUGGCAAGUAUGUGAAAUAACGCAUAUUACAGUGCGCAAUGAUAGAGUGAGUCUGGGUGGACAAACUUUUGGUGGUACACGUGGUGCUUAAUGAUUAGAAGUUACAUGAGGGAAAUAAGAUGGAAAAGGUGGCCUCUCUAGAUUUUGGAAAUGUUCUCUGAAGAAAGAAAGAAAAUAAUUUCAAAGGUGGACAAAAAUGGGGUAAUAUCAGAUUUGGAACAUAAUCUUGGUUGGUGAAGAAUAACAUAAUCUAAGGAGAAAUCUAGGGCAAGCCCAGUGAGAUUUGAGCUUAGAUUUUGGAUCAAUUUAUAGGUGGAUGAUACCAUCAUGAAUAAUGUCCAGCUGAUAAAGGUUUAGUUACUUGCAAUUCUAUCAUAAAGUUAUCAGAUUCUGUGUGUGUGAGGCUGCCAUAUGUUUCUUUCUUCUAUGAUGGAUAAAAAACGCUAAGCAAUGAACUAUUUUGUCCACCUAGUAAAAAAGGUAUUAUGGUUAUGAUGAGAACUCUACAACCUGCCAUUUUAUUUUUGAAGGUAUUCUUAUUAUAUUUUUCUUGGCAACCAAACACAAUCACGAGCCCAAACAGUUGAAGUGCUAUGUAGUCAUGAUUUUUUAGAAUUGUAUUUUUUUUGGAAAGAUAUUAAAGUAUUUUUUAUUUUUUAUUUCAAUAUAUUAAAAAUAUUAAAAAUAUAUUAAAAAAAAUAUCAAUUUAAUAAUUUUUAAAAUAAAUAAUUUUUAAUUUAAAAAAUAUCUAAAAAUAAAAAAAAAAUACCAUACUCCUGAACGAGCUGGGUACAACACAACAACUUGAGAGAGUGUUUAAAAUCAAUCCAUUUAAAAAAAAAAAAAAAACUCCUUAGUUGUUAAGGAAAGAUUGGUAGUGUGAACAAAUCACCAAAGUCAGCAGCAAGGAAGUUCCAGGAAGUGGGCAGCCUUUCUUCUGCUGUUCAUGUGGUGUUCUGCUGUUCCUACCAUUGUAAAAUCAUAUAUUUAAAAUACAAUAAUAAAAAUGUAAUACGCAGCUAAUUAAUGUAAUACGCAGCUAAUUAAUGCUGUUGUUCUUUCUUCUUUAUUGUAUUUUAAAAAAAAAAUUAUGAUUGUGAAAACUAGCCAAAUCAUUAGAUCCAAGCAAUCUAAUAGAAACUACUGUAGCUACGCCCAAUGUUAUCCCAAGAUACUUUUUAUAAUCUAACUUUUUUAAUAUAUUUUUUAUUUAAUUAUCCAAUAUAUUCAUAGAAAACACUAAAAAUAAAAUUAUAGAUAAAAAAUAUAUAUAUUUCAUCAAAAUUCUCUAGUCUAAUUCAUGUAUUUUUCUUAAAAAAAAGUUUUUGACAGUAUUAAAAAUAAUAACAACCAGGAAAAGUAUCCUAAGAAACUGAAAUGAUUUGAACUAAAAAAAUAUUUUUUUUUUGUUGAAAACAUAAUUUUUUAAUUCAUGCAUUUUUUUAUUUUUAAAAAAUUUACUUUUUAUGAGUAACAUUAUUUUGCUAAAAUGUCCCUAAUACAUAAUUAUUAAUAAAGUAAUGAAAAUAUCAUAAUAAAAAUGCCUAAUCUUCUUGAAAACAAUUAAAUAAUUGAACAAUCACUUAAAUAUUAUUUUAAUAAAUUGAUUGAAAGAAUUUUUUUUAUUAAAAAUAAAGAAUAAAAAAUGAAAUGAUAUCUAAGAUAAAGGUCAUACAAGCCUUCAAAGAUAAUAUAUGUACGUGUAUAAUACAAAUUAAUAAAUUCUAAGUAGCAAUAUUUAAUGCAAGUUUAAGAAUAAGAGUUUGCUUUGUGUUUUGUUGUGAGAUUAACCAUAUCAAAUUAUAUAUUUAAUAAUAACUAAUUGUGUUGUGUUAUGAGUAAAAUCAAUAAAUUAUUUGGUGUUCUGCUGUCUUGUUGUUUGAAUUAAAAGUAUUAUUAAGAAUAUAAAUUAAAUUAAAUAUUGCAAAAACUAAAUGAAUUCCUUAAUAAAUAAAUAAAUUCUUUCUUUAGAAAGCAUGGAAAUGCCAUGACAUUGGCUUUUUAGAGAAUACUACGAUAUUAACAGCCAAAAAAGUUAUUGAUAGCUGUGUAAAUCAUUGAAAUUGCCACAAAAGCAACCCAAAUUAUUUAUGAAUUGGAUUCGAUGGAAGGAAGAUGGGAAGGGGGAAAUGGGUAACGGGAAAUUAAAGAGAGAUGAAGAUCUGCGCAUGGGCUACCUGUUUUGAGAAUUAUAGAUUUUUAUCCCUAACUCAAAACGGCACCAAUUAUAAGUUCAUUCAAAAAAAUCUGGAACACAACAUAUGGAAAAAACUCGAAACAACUCGUCUAGAAUUUAGGCAAGAAGAAUGAGCCAAGAUUUUAAGUGCAAUGAAAUUUGUCUUACUUUGUUCUGUUUUUUAAAAUGAUAUAAGAUAAACUACCUAUUUCAGGUGAAACAAAUGGAAUCGACAACCUUUAAAGGGAGUAAAUGUGUCGCUCGUAUUCAAUAGCCUUUCUUCCAUACUGACAUGUGCUUUACACGCACCAACAUUUCUUUCUCUUUUAUUCUAUAAUAUUCAAUAUCGGCGAGUGAGAAUUUGAUAGUUAGCCUUAUUAGUAGUGUUGGUUGUUGACUUGUCAGACAUGUUUUGGGGCCAUGCGUGGUCACCAAGAACAAAUUCGUGAGGGUGAUAAGGCCCAAAAAAGACAAUAUCUUGUAGGUUCGGUCAGGCUAUGACAUAUUCGAUAAUAACUCUUCAAUUAAGUCCUAAAUCUCAUUUCAUCUUUUCAAUUUAAUCCCUAAUUUGACACCAACUCUUCAAUUAGACCCCAAAGCUCAUCUCACAUGAGGAAAGCCCUCUUUUUUUAAUUUAGCCCCUUAUUAUCUUCAAUUUAAUAUCAAAUUUUAUUCGAUCCAGGCCCAAAAAAGGCUAAGCGAAGAUAGAAUAAAGGAAGGGAAAGAAGAUGAAUAAUUGCCCAACUGAGUUAACGUGUUCUGGUCUUUUCUCUAUGAUUCGGGUUGAACAUUUGACAUUUAUCCUUUUUUUCUAUAGUCUUUUCUCCAUAUUCGUUGUGACGCCGCACACGUGCGACAACCAGUAAAUCUAUAGUUAAUUUCAUUUUUUGAUAAAAGAUAAUACCAUCGGUAUAGAAUGGUUACCAACUAUUAGUUUAAUAUGCCUUGUAGCCAAUCAGUUAGUUACACGAGGUAUUAUUAUAUUCAUGUAAAUACAUAUUUAUUAUUAAUAAAGGCUUAAUUUAACUUUAAUAUUCAUAUAAUAUUAGAUUAAUGAAUCUAGAGUAUAGAUAAAGUUUAUGAGACAAAAAUGUUUUGCAAAGGAAAUUAUAAAGUUGUUAUAAUUAUGAGAUUUUUAAUGCAUCAAAAUAUUGUUAAUAAAAUGUUCUUGGUUGAUGCUCUUUUAAAUACUGGAUAUUUAUUAGAGCCAUAAAGACUGAUACAUAUUAUGUUUUUUCCUUUAUGAAAUGAAGCAACUGUUCUCAUAAGUUGAGCUAUAAGGGAUAGCUAAAACUAAUAUGUAUAUGUUUGUCAUAAGACAUGUACACUGAAUUGACCUGCAUGAGAAUUCCAUAUGGAGAGAUUACCUAUGUCUAUGGAAAGACUCAUGUGACAGUUGUAUAUGUAAUCCUUAGACUUGAGAUCACUAAGUUAUUUUAUAUAGAGAAUGUUAUACUUUGAUCAUGUUACAUGUUAUCUUAAUUGAGGUAACAAAAUGAUAGACAUUGGGUAUAUCAUGAACUAUAUGAAGGUAUUUGAGUGAUCAAGAGAGGAUUUCAUUACCCUAUGUGAAUUAGAAAAAAUAUUCAAUCUGUUCUCAAAUAGUAUUGACUGAGAAAUCCUUGACCAAGGUGGAAUGAGAUUUAAAAAGGGUUUGAAAUCUUAUUCAAAUGAUCAAUUAGUAUUAUUUAGAGAAUGAACAUAAUUUAACAUUGAAAAUACGUUGACCAAUAGAAUCCCCGCCUUCAGCCAACCCCAAAUUUGUCUAUCAUCGUAUAAUAUUGAUCAUUACAUUACGCGGUUUCCAGCUAAUGAUAGGAUAUAAAAUAAUUUUUUAUAUUCUAAAUUAAUUUUUUUUAUUUUUAUAUUGAUAUUAAAAAUAAUUUUUAAAAAAUAAAAAAAUAUUAUUUUAAUAUAUUUUUAAAUAAAAAAUAUUUUAAAAAACAUGUACUUAUUCAAACACUUAAAAUAAAAAUCUUAAAAUCACAGCAUGAUAAAAGAAAAACCCCUAAAAUCACGGCAUGAUAGAAGGAGAAAGAAAAGGAAUGGGACAAAGAAGGAAGAAAGUAAGGUCACGUAGGGGCCAGUAUUGAAGAAAAGCUAAAAGAACUAUGUCUGUGAGAAAGUACCAUGUUCAAUCUUAUCUCCACAUGUUCAACCUUAUAUUUUAUUGUGGCAAGGAGAUAAAGAUAAUCUCAAAAGCUAAUAGAUGGUCGCCACGUGUUCAACUUUAUGUACCACUAGGAAAGGAUAGAAAGUGGGAGAGAGAAAGGUUAAAAAGGCUUAAAAAGAAAAGAAAAGGAAAGACAGAAAGAAAGUAAUAGGACAAAGGAAGAAAGUGAAUGGGACAACGGAAGAAAGCAAGGUCAGUAUUGUAGAGAAGAGGAGAUGAAAGUUAGUAUGAGAAAGAGGAUGAUAGAUAGAGUGGUUGUCCAAAUCAUAGUGGUUUUUAUAAUUAUAUUUAAUUUAUACAAAUAUUAAAUUAAUAUAUUCUUAGUAUUUUAUAUGAUUUAAUUUUUUUUUGAUGAUUUAAAAAAUAUAUGUGUAUAAAAAAUUAUUUUAUAUCACUUGUUCGUCUUGAAAAGCAACUGCUUCGGCUUGCUUCUCUUUACAUUACCAUUUCUGGUGUGGGGUUGAUUUCCACAAUACUAGGCAGCUAUUUGUUUAUUCUUCUGUUAUAACUGAAAAACUCCCCUGUGAUUUAGAAGAAAUAAGAUAACAAAAAUCUGAGGUUGAUUGUUCCUUGUAAUCCUUACGAAUGCUCCAAAGAACCUCUGCGCAUUUCCUCAUGCUCGGCCUGCUCUGUCUGCCAGGAGCCAAACAUUGCAAUGCUAGUUCCAGAAUCUUUUCUAGGGCCAAGUUAUUUGCAGCAGUUCGCUCUAGCUUCGGGUCCAAGAUCACAAUGGCAUUACCUUCUGCAAACUUCUUUAUUGCCUGCAUGUAAACCAACUGAAAUCAGAACAGAGAGAAACCUUCCUUUGCUAUUACUCCAGGUAAAUGUGAUCGCUUUGAUCUCUUGGACAAAAGUAUUAAUUGCUUCGACAUCUUGGUAGACAAGUUCCAAUAAUAUUGAGAUUAGAUGGAAGCUCUGGGAUUGCUUUAUUGGUUCGGUGGAGGACUUCCAUCAGAUAUUGCAAGCGUUGGAUAACAAUAGAGCUGUGGUUUUAUAGCAGUUACAGAACAUUAUUAAUAAUUUAGCAAUACUUGUAUUGAGUGGAGAAACAGAGGGAAAGAGGAUUGUACCCAUUUUGCAGUUAAUCGUUCCUUUAUUUCCCUUUUCGGUUCAAUAGGACGCCUACCUGUCAUAUUGAACCGAAAUAGGUGGGAAAUUUAUAAUUUGUUUGCAAAGUUCAUUUUAGUUCCUUGUUUUUUAAGCUAUUAAAUAGUAAGUCCCUAUAAUUUUCCAGCAUUGCAUUUUGAAUUUUUUAUUAUUAUUAAUAUUUUUUUUUAUAUAUUUUUGAAAAUAAUUUUAAAAAUGAUGUUUUUAUUAAUAUCCCUUUUCUAUGAUUUUUUUUGGCCUUAUGUAGUCUUUCUUCAAUUAUUUUUAAUUUUUUUGCUUGUGUUUAAUUUUUUAAGAGGUUAGUAAUAUUUAUCUGUAAAUAUUUUUUAUAUAUUUCAGAUAGAUUAAGUAUCUAAUUUUUAUAAUAAUUUGAAUAUGUGUAGCCUUGCAUAGUUUUUUUUUCCUUUUAUGAUAUUAAAAAAAAUUAUGUGUGUUGAUUUCUAUUAUAGAUUGAUUUUAGUAAACAAAUUCAUUAAAUAUAAUAAGAUAAAUGACCCAUGUUGUAAUAUUAAAUACUUUAUCUAUAUUUGUUUUUUAAUUUUUCCACUUGCAUUUUUAAUUAUCGGUAAUGACUUUAUUUUUUUCAUUUAUUUACAUAAUUGUUUGUGAUUUUUUUAAUUUGAUGGGUGUAUAAGUUUUUCAAUUUACAUUUAGAAUUUUUUUAAUUUAAAAAAACACGUUCAGAAAUUCUUAUUUUUAUGAUUUCAGUUUAAUACUUAUUCUUAUGAUUUCUUAUUUUUUUCCUAAUCCUUUUAUAAAACAAAAAAUUGUUUAUAAUUUCAUCCUUCAUUUCAACAUAAUGAUGUAUUUUUUUCAAUAUAUAUAUUCUUGUUUGUUAUUAUUGCUUUUUUUCUUUAUAUAAUUCAUAUAAAACCAGCUUAUUUAAUCUGUCAAGAUUAAAUAAAUAAAUAAAAGAUAUACUCUGUCUUCCCAUUUCCUCUCCCUGGUGAAUUUUGGCGACCACCCACACAAUGAUAGCCUAAACAACCACCAGCCAUUCCACUUUUCAAGACCCCAUCUCUCAAUCUCAAAACCAGAAACAACCCUUUCUCAUAAUUCCGGGAAAGUGAAGAACUAAACCAUAGUGGCAAAAAUCUUAAAGGGUCUAAAUUAUCUCUGUUACUUUCCCUCAAUUUUCUAGACAAGCAAAAGGAGCUAAACUUAUUUCCGACCAAAACGCCAAGAAUUUCAGUAGAACAAAAGAAGAGAUUGUUACUUGACCAUAAACAAUUAGUCCGCACCCAAAGAAACUGAGUGAAUGAGAGAAAAAGACUAAUAGCUAGAAAACAAUCAACAGAUCCAAGAAUUUUCUGUAUGGUUUCCAAGAAAAUGAAACGAAACGAGCAGCACAACCCUCUUUCUCCUCCAAGAAAAGAAAGAAGAAGAAAAAGAAAAAGAAAAAGAAAGGAAAGAAACAAAGAAGUUCGAGGAAAGAAAAAGUAAGGAAGAUGAAACCAUAAACCUGCAAGUCCUACAAAUCAUAAACAUUGACUUUGAUUUUUCCUUUAUAAAACCAUAAACCUGCAAGUCCUACAAAUCAACAUGAAGACUUAUCAGAUCCUAAUGAAAAGCUGUCAAAAUCCUAUCAGAAAUUAAGGAAGAUGACGUUACGUUAACUUCAAAUCUGAGGAUUAAUUGUAGCAGAUCUUAUAGAGUUCAGCUGAUUGCUUUACUUGUUUAAAUAAUUCUCUUGUAAGCCUAAUGGUUCACGUCUUCCAUCAUUGCAACCUUUUUUUCUGUGAUUGAAAAAUCUAUAAUAGGAACCUGCACUUCAUCCCUUCUAUGCUGUUGUUCUUUCUUCUUGUUUUGCUAUUUUGAUUUUAUCAUAUUUUCUAUGAUGAAAGUUGAAGAAAACACCCCUUCUUUUGCAAUUAUUACCACUCCCCCCACGUGGCUACCCAUAAUUGGACUGUCAUCUCAGCUGUAUAAAUGUCUCGCUCAAGCCAAAAACAGAAACGCACAAAACCCCUCCCCCAACAGAGAAUCAAAUGAUAGCUAAAAUCAAAUAUUAUUAUUAUUAUUAUUAUUAUUGCCCCAACAACAAACAAUUAUUAUACAAUUAUUAUUAUUGCUGUUGUUAUUUUAGGUGCCACCUAGUCCUUUGCUAGGAACUUAACAUCCAAAAAUGCCUUCACUAAUCUUUUGCUCAUUUUCAAACCGAAGAGUCCUGUACUAACAAAAGCCUUUUUAUAGGAUGCUAUGUUUUCUUACCCACCUCACGAACAUGAUCAUGAACACGAGCCUAAGAUGACUCUCUUUUUACUUUCUUGAAUCAAUAAAAUAACCAGUGAGUCCUGUUCUUGCAUUCGACUAAAAAAGGUCUGCAAAAUUACAGUAAUUGCUUAUGAUGAUACGAACACAACAAAAGAUCAAACUCAAGCACUUAAAAGUAAUUGCUUAUGAUGAUCAUCUCACUAAGUAAGGAGAGAAAAGUAAGGAGAAACGGAAGGAGACAUAGACAGAUCGGAGGAGAGUAAGAAAAAAAUAUAUGAAUAUGUGAUGUCCUAUUUCUCAUAAAAAUUCUCUCUUUUAUUUGGAAUUUCUUUGGACAAAGGAAGAAAGUGAGGUCACGUUGGGGGGCCAGUAUUGUAGAAAAUAGGAGAUGAAAAUUAGUAUGAAAAAGAGGAUGAUAGAGUGGUUGUCCCAAUCAUAGUGGUUUUUAUAAUUAUAUUUAAUUUAUAGAAAUAUUAAAUUAAUAUAUUCUUAGUGUUUUAUAUGAUUUAUAGAAAAAGACUAAUAGCUAGAAAACAAUCAACAGAUCCAAGAAUUUUCUGUAUGGUUUCGAAGAAAAUGAAACGAAACGAGCAGCACAACCCUCUUUCUCCAAGAAAAGAAAGAAGAAGAAGAAGAAAAAGAAAAGGAAAGAAAAAAAACAAAGAAGUUCGAGGAAGUGUGCAGCCUUUGUUCUGCUGUUCACACAGACUAAGAACUCCUACCAUUGUAAAAUCAUAUAAUUAAAACACAACAAUAAAAAUGUAAUAAUCAGAUCUUAUAGCGUUCAGCUGAUUGCUUUACUUGUUUAAAUAAUUCUCUUGUAAGCCUAAUGGUUCACGUCUUCCAUCAUUGCAACCUUUUUUUCUGUGAUUGAAAAAUCUAUAAUAGGAACCUGCACUGCAUCCCUUCUAUGCUGUUGUUCUUUCUUCUUGUUUUGCUAUUUUGAUUUUAUCAUAUUUUCUAUGAUGAAAGUUGAAGAAAUUCUACUUCGAAACUCAAGACAAAGUCUCUCGGACUGCAUAUUAGUGGGUUGCUCAUUGGGAUUUCUAUAAACAACUGAUUCUAAUAUUGCACAGCAACAUUACGAAAAACUGAUUAUUUCACACAUAGUCUAAUAAAAGUAGAUUCCAUUGUCAAUUCCUUAACAUUUUCCAAACAAAUCCAUGCUCCUCAUUUUAUACUUUCUUGAGGGUUUCUAUUCUCUUAUUACCAAUUUCAGUGAGUUUCAUAAUAAGCUGCUUAGAAAGAAGCUAUCUAACAGGAGGGUGGGGCUACUCUUAGCCAAUGAAAACAGCUUCACAUGCUAUACAGCAACGUGAAAAAAAAUUCUCAGCCUGUUCUCUCUUUAAUGAACACCCUCUUGGAUUCUCUAGCAUUAGGCAACAAGGUAUCUGCUUGGAAUUACUUCCACCCAUCUGAAAAAAUAACAUACAAUCUAUUUAAUACACUUAACUAAAAAUGUAUUUUAUAACCCUAUAUAUUUUUUAACUAAACUAGUUAUUUUUUUCAAAAACCAAAAAAGUAAACAGUUUUUCAAAAAUCUAAUUCAUAAUAAAACAAAUAAUGAAACUUGAUAAUAAUUCACUAAAUAACCAUCAAUUAUUCAUCAAACCAAUCUGAAAAAGCUAAUAUUAAAGAUAGGAACAAAUCUAGAAUUUUAUCAUAUUUUUAAGGAUCAAAUUAUAAUUUUAUCAAAUAUUGUAAUAGGUCAAUUAUAUUACCCGAGUGUGUGACACAGAGAUGAUCAUCAUAGAAAAUUACUUUUAAUUGCUUGAGUUUUAUCCUUAGAUGACAAACUUACCUUGUCCUACUAAUGCUUUUGCUUUCAUUGUUUCGAAAGUAAUUAAAAGAGACAUGAACAUAAUCAUUUCCUUCCUUUUACUUUCCACUUCUUUGUAAUAUUGGAUUGCAAACGGGAUGGUGCUUAGGGGGGCCAGUUUUUCUUUUCCUUUCUUUUUAAAAUCUUAUUUUUUAUAAUACUAUUAAAUAUAAAUAAAUAACUUACUUUGUAAGAAUUUAUUUUCUAUAAAAACUACCUUUUAAAAGAAACUACUUUAAAUAAACGGGGCUCAAAUCUCACUCUCAUGGCUUUAUUUAUCUAGUUGAGAUAGAUAGACCUUCAUAACCGCAUGUGGUUAUUUGUCAUGAUAUUACCUUCUUCUGGAAUUAGGACAUGAUGAAAAUAGGCAAACAGAACCUAAUAAUUUAGUCAUUCUCAAUGUUUUGGAAGAUUUUUGCGAAAGAAAAAUUAUUACAAAUUUCCCUAGUCAUGAUCAUAUCCAUGACAUCUGACAAAAUUAUUAUAAACAGUUUUUUUUUUUUUUUUGUAAACAUUUAGAAAAAAGAGUUUAUUACUUGGCGAAAAACAACUAGUCAUCACCCAAAGAAACCGAGUGAAUGAGAAAAAAAGACAAAUAGCUAGAAAACAAUCAACAGAUCCAAGAACUUUCUGUAUGGUUUCCAAGAAAAUGAAAAGUAAAGGAAAGAAGAUAGAGAGUCAAACUUGGCUGAAUUGGCACAUGAUUUGAGUUCUGAGUUGAGUUCUAAGUUCGGUGGGUUAAUCUAAAAUGAUUCAAAUCAAUAAUUUCUUCUAAAUGAUGAAAACAUGUUGUUUUGCAUAACAAAAAUAUCAAUUAGAAUUUUUAUUGAGUCUUGACUAGGUUGCAAGUCGACUCGUCAUCAGGUCAAACUAUAUUAACUCUAAGUUAACUUUUUUCUUAUACCCAACCCGAGCAAGGUGAUGGAUUGUUCGAGCCAGUUUAAUAACAAUGUUUUCAUCUAUUUAACUAAUCCUUGUAAUUUAUAUAUUUGCGUUGAUGUUUUUUUUUUCAUUCCACAGUAAAAAAAAACUCUUGAUUUCUCAUGAACAAUCUUAAAACUGUACUUCAAGAUUCUGAAGGAAAAGACAUUAAAGAAGCUUCUUAUGACAUGCAGUUUCAACGAAAACUCCUUCACGCUAUUUUCCAAGAUACUUCUACCCACAAGAAACCUGGAAAAACUUAAAUAAUAUCAGCAAAACUAUAAUCAAUGAACAUGGCAGUAACAGGUUGGGAAUGUGACAGAAUGCUAAGUGCCAAAGGGUAAAAGUAUUAUUAAAGAGGCGUGACACAAACGAAGCUACCCCUUACCUACUCCUGGGAAGGGAUGUCAGACUAUACAGCUUUUUCAAUUCAUUAAUGUCGUUCUCUGUUUGUUUUCUAAAACCUGCUCGAAUCAUAUACAUGUAUUAUAUUCUUAAAAUUGCUCUAUGGGAUUGCAGGUCAUGCUCGUUUGAUUGAUUUUUUUCAAAUUCUUUUCAUGCUCUUCCAAACAAGGCAGGGAAGGAGGACCUGAAAUCACGGCAGCGAAUAAGGAGAGAAAUAGCCUGUUUGUCUUUGCUUUUUUUUUUUUUUAGUAUUUUUGAAAAACAUUAUUUUUUUUUUGAUAUAAAUUAAUUUUUUUAUAUUUUCAUAUUAUUUUGAUAUAUUUCUAAACAAAAAAAUACUUUAAAAAACAACCGCUAACACAUUACCAGAAAACCGAUAAAUACAAACGAAAAUACCGAGGGAAUAUUUCCGUCGGUAAAUUUCCGAGGGAUUUUACCGACGGACAUAUUCCCUCGGUAUAUACCGAGGGAAUUACGGAGGGACAAAAAAUUAAAACAAAACAAAAAAAAUGAUGACGUGUCAGGAUUUACCAACGAAAUUACAGACAUAAUUUAUUCCGUCGGGAAAAUACCGUCGGUAAAUCCGUUGGUAACCUUGUUUACACUGUUCAUCAUGUCAAUUACAAAGGGAAUCACCGACGGACAAAAUCCGUCGGUAUUUUCCAGAGAGCUCCAGAACUGUUCACUUUCCAAUUGCACUGUUAAUUGUUGUUCUUUAAGGACAAAAUCACCGACGGAUUGAAAAGUCGUCGGUGUUAUUUGGCGGUUUUCUGAAAAAAUUCAAUUGAUUUAAAAUUUUCAUUUAAAUAUUACAGACGGAAUCACCGACGGACUAAAAAAUCGUCGGUAAUUGUUGGCGGUUUCUGAAAAAUUUGUACGAAAUUAAAAAUUUAAAUUAAAUAUUACCGAUGGAAUUACCGACGGAAUAAUUAAAAAAUAUUAAUAUUCAAUUAUCCGUCGGUAAAUCCGUCGCUAACGCGCCCCAAUAAAAAGCCCGAAUCCCUUAUUUCACAAGAGACAGACUUAUUUCUUCCUAUUCUUCUACUUCUUCUUCUUCUUCACUAUAUGUAAAAAACAUCAAUAUCUAUUUCUUUCUCUUCUUUUCUCUCCUCGUCUCCUUCUCUUUUUCUCCAUGCUCGGGUAUGUCUUCUUCUUCUUUCUUCUUUUAUCCUCUUAGUUUUUUUUUUAAUUAAUAUGCUUUACGAAAUGUUUUUCUCUCCUUAGCUUCACUUGCAACUACAUUAAGGUAAGAUUUUUCUUCUUUUUUCAUGAUUUUUUUCACUAUAUUUGUUUUUUAUUUUAUUUUUAAUUGUUUUUGUUCUUAAUAAUUGUAUAAAUGUUGUUGUGAGAUUUGUUUUUUCAUAUGAGAUUAAUUUUUAGUUGAUUUAUUUAUAGGAUUUUUAAAUUUUUAGCAAUUGCAACUUUAUUUUUUUUCAUAUGAAUUUUUUUAGUUGAAUUUAUUUUUUCAUUUUAUUUAUUUGUUGCAAAUUUGUUUGAGUUGAUUUUUGUAUUUGUUUUUCAAGAAUUUUGAGUAUAUAUUAUACAGUGUUGAUUUAUGUUAAUUUAAUUAUUUUAUAAUUUUAUAAAAUGAUUUUUUUUUAUUUUUUUUUAAAUAAUUACCGAUGGAAUUUCCAUCGGUAAUUCCGUCGGCAAAUCCGUUGGUAAUAAAAAAUAUUAUUACCGACGGAUUUACCGACGAAAUGAAGCGGGUAAUUUUAUUUUUUUAUUUCUGACGGAUUUACCGACGGAUAAAAAAUUACCGAUAAAGGAUUCACCGACGGAGCAUUUCCGUCGGUGAUGUCGUUGGUAAAUUAAUUACUAACGGAAUAUGUGUCUUACACCGACGGAAAAAUUCCGUCGGUAAAACUGUUAAAUCUUGUAGUGACAUACUUUUUUUAAGCUAUUAAGUAACCGGUCCUUAUAAUUUUCCAACAUUGUAUUUUGAUACCAAACUUUAUUUUUCUCUUUUUUAAGUUCUUUUUUGAGUGGAGAAGAGAGAGAGGAUCGCCAGAUUUCAUUUUAGAGAGAAAAAGUUGUUGUUGAAAAAGAUUUUGGCCACCGAAAUCGUUGAUUUUUUUUAGUCAAAUGGUAGCCACCCAUUUUUUUCUUGUGUUCAUAAUUAAAACCUUCUUAAAGGGUUCUUAUCAAUGGCUUUAAAACCUCUCUCUCAAGAUCAAAAGGUUAAAAAUAACUCUCUGCCCUCUAAGUCUAACAAAACUACCAAGUACCCUUAAAACCAAAACCACCAUUGCCAAACCAGUUUAGUACAAGAACUUCUAGCUGUUAGCUUUUGUCCAAAACCUUUUUACUUUGAUCAAAUGGUUAAACUUUCAUUAAUCUUUUAGGGAAUCCACAAAAAACCUAGAAAAACCCUAUAAAUACUCUUGAAAAUUAGAGCCGGAGAGGAGGAGAAAAUGAGAGGAAAAGAGAGGAAAAACAUGGGGAAAUAAUUUGUUAAUAGACUCUAUUAUGAAGGUUUAAGAGCCUAAUAUAGAAUGUCUAACCUAUUUUAAAAAGAAAAGGAGUGAAAAGAAAAGAAAGAAGGAAAAAAGAAGAAAAAAAUAACAACGUAAUUUUGAAAUUAGAAGGUCUAAUUUCAGUGAAAGUUAAGAGCAUUAGAGACUAGACCAUGCUUAUACCAAAAACGAAUCUCAUCGUUGAAGGAAUGCAAACAGUUGUUAACGAGACACUUAUGCUGUUCUAACAUUCAAAGAUUGUUGAAUCUAGUACUGGUGCUCAUUCUGGAUCUAGGAAUGCAACGUAAUUUUCUGGACCAAUUAAUUUCAGGUAUUUUUUUUCCUCUUUUAUUUCCUUUAUGUUUUUAUCUUCUUCUUCGUAGAUCUGUAAAAAUUAUGGCAUAAAUCCUUUGAUAUUCUUGAUAAAUCCGCUACUGUCAUAUUUUUUCCAUAACAUUUCCAUAACUCUUCAUCUUAUCUCGCCACAUUCCACAGUUAAAACUAACCAAAUUCAUCAAGCAACCCACAAAAAACACAUUUUUUCCAUGACUGUUUUCUUCUUCAUGAAUCACAAUUGGCAGCUCAAAUCAUCUAACCAAACAAGGGGGGAAUUUCUAACCAAACAGAGAGACAAAACUGGGGGGGGGGGGUAACUGUGAACAGAGAGAGGCAAAACGCGGGGAGCCAUUUCUGUUAACAUAGAGAGGCAAAACACGGGGGGCGAUUUCUGUUAACAUAGAGAGGCAAAAGGGUGAGGGGGGGCGAUUGAUUUCUGUGAACAGAGAGAGGCCAAAACGGGGGGGGGGGGGUUCUGUUAACAAAGAGAGGCAAAAUGGGGGGGGAGAUUUCUGUGAACUUUACUGUGAAGCAGCCCCUCCCUGUCCCCGGAUCCGGCCACCAUAUACUUUCUGUCAACCCUUGCUCUCUUUUUUUGUCAAGACACAGCUUUACCAGAGCAAGUAGCCGGGGGAGAGAGGAGGAGAAACCGAAAGUGAGAGGGAACAGGGGAAUGAGGGAAUAAGAGAAAUCGAGAGGGAGAGGGAACAGGGGAAUUGGGGAAACUGGAACCAGGAGAGGGGAAUGAGAACAGGGGAAUUGGGGGAACUGGAACCAAAAGGAGAGGGGAAUGGGAACAGUGCAAUUGGGGAAUGUUAAAUAGGGAAUUAUAGAAACCGGUUAUAACAGGGGAAAUGGGGAAUGAAUAUAACAGGGGAAAUGGGGAAUUAUAGAAACCGAUUAUAAUAGGGGAAAUGGGGAAUGAAUAUAACAGGGGAAAUGGAGAAUUAUAGAAACCGAUAGGGUGAGGGGAAUAGGUGGGGAAUGGGAUAAUGGGAUGGGAACAACGAAAUUAUAAUAGAACCCUAAUAAACAUAAAUUUGUGUUUUAUUUUGCUUUGAUCAAUUUAUGAUUAGUGUUUGAUUAUAUUUGUUAUAUAUGGAUAAAUUUGUGUGACUAUGUCGGUAAUUAUAUAGAUUUCAUUGCGCAAUGUCUAUUGAUCGUUGUGAACUUAUGAAAUCGCAUGUAUGAAGAUGAUGGUGUUGAAAAGUUGUCUAAACAGAUUGGAGAUGUAGCAUUUGCAAUUCAAAGCCUCAGCAAAAAUCAACUUGAUGUUAAUGCAUUGUAUGCGGAAGUGAUGAAAAUUGAAGGUUUUGAUGAGAUCACUCUUGGAGAUGCAUUUGAUCAUUUGGUCCAAAAUGAAAUAUUGGCAAAAGUAUUUAUGAUAAAAAAUGCUAAUUUGAGGAAAAUUUGGGUUCAGAAUUUUGUGAACCAACACUACUAUAGGCCUGCUUGCUAAGAUGGUUUGACUAUGUUUAAAAUUUGGGUUCAGACUAUGUUUGUUAUUUGACAAGUAUCUUUACUUGUUUAAUUCAGUCUAGCAUGUUUAUGUUUGUAAUUUGAACUAAUAUGUAUGUAUAUGACAUCGAAACUUAAUAUUUAUUCAUAACUUUGUUUGAUGUUAGAUAUUUAUAUUUAUUUCUUGAUGCUUAUUUGAUAUAUAUUAAAGGGAUAAUUGCCUUUACCCGUAAAAAAAAAAAUAUAUUUAUCCAAAAAACCCAUCAAAAUAUUUUUUGAAUCUACUUAUCUUUUUUACAAAACUUCAUACAAAAAAAAAAACAACCCAAAUAUAUAACUCUUACCAUAAACUAAUUUGACUUUCUUCAUAUGAAAAAAAAAAUUAUUUUAAGCUUUUAAAAUUGAAAAAAAUAUAGUAAUAGGUUUUACUUAAAAAAUAUUUCACAAGCUUAUUUCUAUAUAAUAUGAUAUGACAUAUAUAGUUAUAUUUUAUAAAAUAAGCUAUGUAUGAAUAUAUAUUAUAAUAAAAAAAAUUCAUCAUUAUACUUUUUAGAUUUCAUUAUUUUAUUGUAAGUGAUUAAAUAUUUAUAUUAAAUAUUAUAUAUAUAUAUUAGAUAAACUUUAAAAAAAAAUUAAUUCAUUAAUAAAUUAUUUUUCAGUUCAUUUUCCAUAACAUAACUAAACACUGGAAAGUGUUUUCCAGUUCAUUUUCUAUAACACUACCAAACAUCGGAAAAUACUUUCCCGGAAUUUACUUUCCAGGAAUUCACUUUCCCCGUAAUUCACUUUCCAAAAGGAAACAACUUUCCUGCAAACAAACGGAGCCUUGAUUAUCCUAAUACAAAACUUAAUAUAAUUUCGUAGUUGUGGAAUACUAACUAGAUAUAAAGGAAAAAUAUAAAUUACAACAAAAAAAUACAGAUUCUAAAGGUCCAAAAAAAGUGAUUUACUAACAAGCUAUAAGCUUGAGAAAGAUAAAUAGUGAGAGGAUGAGUUCAAUAACUCAGUGAGUAGAUAAUGUUCAAUAUACAUACACAAGGUAAUACAACAAUGAUAAAUAUAUAUACAAUUAUGACUUUAGAUUCUUAUAAGAAGGUUUCUCAAAUAGGCCAUAACAACGAUAUCGUAAGGUAAAACUCGUUAGAAAAUCAAAAUGCAAUGACCAUAAGGGUCCAUACUAUGGGAUGAUUAGUCUACACAGGUUGAUGACUCCCUCGACCAACUAGGGUUUCAGAUACGAUGUACACUAAGACUAACACUACCAUGUUAGCAUGAACAUUCUAAUUGGCAUACCAUAAGUUUAUAUCAUAAUCAAACAAACAGAUUCAUAUCUCAACGCCAGCUCAUGACAUUAAUAAAAUAAGAAGUUAUCAAUUCAGAAGUCAAUUUAAAAGUAUAUAUUGGCUUAUAUCAAGAAUUCAGAUUCAACAAUUGAUCAUCUUUUAUCAUAAUAAAGAUAAUAAUCAACACAUAUAUUAUAAAGAAGCACGAUCCAAUUCAUAUUAACAACUCAAAUAUUUAUACUAUUUCUCAUGUAUAUGAAAAAUUAUACACUCACUCGACUUAAAAGUGAACAGAAUUCGAAAGCAAAUACUGAAGGAAUCCUACUGAUAUUCCGUAUGUAGAAUAUCAGGAUUAUAUGAAUACAAAUGAGACAUAUUAUAAAACGACUCGAAAAGAACAUACAACCUAUUUAAUACACUUAACUAAGGGUCUAUUUCAUAACCCUAUAUAUUUUUUUAACUAAACUAGCUAUUUUUCCCAAAAACCCAAAAAGUAAACGGUUUUUCAGAAAUCUAAUUCAUAAUAAAACAAAUAAUGAGACUUGAUAAUAAUUCACUAAAUAACCAUCAAUUAUUCAUCAAAACAAUAUGAAAAAGCUAAUAUUAAAGCUAGGGACCAAUCUGGAAUUUUAUCAUAUUUUUAGGGGUUAAAUUAUAAUUUUAUCAAAUUGGAGGCCCAGACUAAAAAUAUUAUAAAUUCAUGACUAUACUGGAAUUAUGCCCAUAAUUCAUCCUCAAUUCUGCCCAGAAUCUCAAAUUAUGCUCCAGGGACCACUCUGUAAUUUUAUCAAAUUUCUAGGGUUAAGUUGUAAUUUCAUCAAAUUGGAGGACCAAAGUGAAAAUAUCAUAAAUUCAUAACUAUACUGGAAUUCUGCCCAUAAUUUAACUUUAAUUCUGUCCAGAAUCUCGGAUUAUGCUCCAGGGACCAAUCUCUAAUUUUUCUAAAGUUCAAGGACUAAACUGUAAUUUUCACAAAUUGAGGGGCCAAGCUGAAAUUUCAUAAUUUUUAACCUCAAACCCAGAAUUUACACAGAUAACCUACUGAUAUAUCAAGAUUUCUAACUCAAAUUCACCAUUUAAAUACAAUCAUAACUCAAAAUCAUCAUUUUUACCUAAAAUCUUUUAAAAUCAACUAAAUAAUUCAUUACCCAUAACAAUCAACCCAUAAUUUUUCUGUAAUGUAAUUGUAAUUCCUAGCAUAAUGCAUAUUCGAGGGCAAGCACAACAACUCAAGAGCAAAGAAACUCGAUGAAAUAGCAAAAGAAAAAGACUUGAAGGACUGAAAAAAAAUAAAACCAAAAAAGAGGGAUGAAAAAAGUAACCGCACUCUGGUUGCCAUAAAAAAACAUAGUUCUUUAAGUAUUUUUUUUUUUUUAAAAUAUUGUAAUAGGUCAAUCAUAUUACCCGAGUGUGUGACACAGAGAUGAUCAUCAUAGAAAAUUACUUUUAAUUGCUUGAGUUUUAUCCUUAGAUGACAAACUUACCUUGUCCUACUAAUGCUUUUGCUUUCAUUGUUUCGAAAGUAAAAGAGACAUAAACAUAAUCAUUUCCUUCCUUUUACUUUCCACUUCUUUGCAAACGGGAUGGUGCUUAGGGGGGCCAGUUUUUCCUUUCCUUUCUUUUUAAAAUCUUAUCCCUUGGGCGAGGAAAUUAGUGGAGCAUUAGACUUUUUAAAAGACAACCAAAAGAAGCAAUGUCUGAUCAUCUUUUGAUAUGGUGGUCUUCCAUGAUCAGUUUGUUGAUGAAGAUAUCGAAAGAUUCGAGUCUCCGUUCUAGCUCAGGUUGGAAGCUAGGCCGAAAGCUAAGCUUCUUUUAAUUAUGAAUCGUUUAUGCAAAGGAAACCCAGAAGCUUGAACAAACAGAAAUGCCCUGUUGAUUUCUCUGCUGCUACUCAUUAUUUCCAAUAUUAUUCCAUUAUCUUACCCGAGAGCAAUUAUACAAGAAAUUUCAUUAUCCUGCCCCAAAAGGCAAUUUAUUACAAGGACUUCCUUUAACCUCCUUGAAGGCAAUUUAUUUGAUGAAAAUUCCUUUAAUCCACCUCAAAGACAAUUUAUCUUAGGGAAUUCCAACAAGCCAGGCAAUUUAUUUCUUGGAAAUUCCUUUAACCCGCCCUAAUUAAGGCAUUUUAUCUAAGGGAAUUCCAACAACCUGCUCCAAAAUCAAUUUAUUUCUUGGACUCAGUAUUCUUUGAUACUAGUUAUUUAUAUAUAAUUUAACAACACUUUUAUCUUAUAUUUAAAAAGAAAUUCAAAAGUAAGGAUAAGCCUUACCUAGAGCUCCUGUGGUUCUUGCUCCCGAGAGAAUUGGCUCCACUCCAGACAAAUCUACUACCAAAAACCCAAGUUUCAACCAAUCAAUAACAUCAACACCCAUUUUAAUUCAAUGCAAGAAGUUUUUCUUAACCAAUUUACUUGAUGCAAGUUCUUAUAAUCAAAGUGACAGUAUUCAGGGUGAAGACAAGCAGAAGGGCGUGUAUUAAUUUUAUUUUUUAAUGUUGAGUUUUUUUAUUGAAUUUUAUUUGUCAAUAUUGAAUUAAUUAUAAAUUAAAUUUUAUAUUUUUUUAUCAUAUAUAAAAAAACAAAGUAAUCUCAUCUUUUGAUACGGUGGUCCAAGAUUCACCAUGACAUGGUUGUAGUUUUUUUUUUUGCCUUUUUCUUUUGAAAAUGUUAUGUCAUUUAAUUUAUAAUUAUAAAUUAAAUUCUUUUUAUUGGUCAUUUUAAUUUUUUUUACUUUUUUUAUAUAUAAUUUUUUAAUUUUAUAUUUUAUUAAUGUUGAGUUUUUUUAUUAAAUUUUAUUUGGCUAUGAACCAGAACUUUUUAUUUUUUAUUUUUUGGACAAGCAGAGACAAAUUAAAUAAACAAAGUAAUCUCAUCUUUUGAUAUAGUUGUAGUUUUUUUAUUAUUUGUUUUUUGCCCUUUUCUUUUAAAAAUGUUAUCUCCUUGGUAAGGAAUCCUUGGUUCCCAACGGCAACUGUAGCAGAGUUGACGGUUGCGUAAAAACAAAUCUCUAAACUCCACCGAAAGUAGUGGAGCAUUAGAGUUUUUAAAAGACAAAACGGGGACAAGUGGGAGACGAAGAACAAGACAACAGUAGGUGGUCUAAGAUACACCGUAUAUAUGAUAAUAAUAAAACAAGCCUUUAAAACAACUCUGAAAACAAAAAAUUUUAUAAUUCAUAAUUUAUAAACACAUGCGAUAAAAUAAAUCAUACUGCAUGUUUUCAUUUGGCAUUUAAUUCCAUGAACAUGAUUUUUUUAGAUUAAUAUGGAUAUUCGGGUCAGCUUGUGUACCUCAACUAAUUCUAUGAAUCCUAAAAUUAACGAUUAUAUGAGCAUCUAGCAGGCCUGGAAUUUGUGAGAUUCGAACUAAUAAUUUUUAGAGAGUAAAUUCAGGGUCUCACCAGUUAAACUACAUUUAUCAGAAUUUCAUUAACAUGAUCUUACUUUUCAAUCAAAUUGCUGCGACCAUAUUAGACUUGUAAUCAGACCAUUAAUUGACUGUUCUUGACUAGCUAUUGUUUCUUAUAAUCAAAGUGACAGUAUUCAAGGUGAAGACAAGCAGAAGGGCGUGAUAGAGUUUGACGAAGAUCAAGCUAGUUCCAAUAAAGGGAAACACUCUAUGCAGGCCAAACCACAGUGGAAAUUCUUAUAAUCCCACCAAUCAAGGUUUACAGGACCCUAGUCCUUCCCAAACCAAUUUGAACUCCCCGUAGAGAAAUCAUCUCCAAACCCAUUUUGAACCCCCCACAACAAGCAUCUCCACAACCUAUUCUGAACCCCCCCACAACAAGCAUCUCUACAACAUGAUUUUAUUUCCUUGUGUGACAGGGAGGUCAAAAUUGAAAGAUAUUACUAUUUUCAUUAAUUUUAUUAAAGCUUAAUUAUUAUUUUUUUGCCCUUUUCUUUUAAAAAUGUUAUCUCCUUGGUAAGGAAUCCUUGGUUCCCAACAGCAACUGUAGCAUAGUUAAAGGUUGCGUAAAAAAAUAUCUAAACGCCACCGAAAGUAGUGGAGCAUUAGAAUUUUUAAAAGACAAAACGGGGACAAGUGGGAGACGAAGAAAAAGACAAAAGUAAUCCCAUCUAUUGAUGUGGUGAUCCAAGAGACACCAUAACAUGGUGUUCUUCCAUGAAGUCUAAGAUACACCGCCGUGUUGUUUCAUAUAUAUUUAUAUAUAUGAAAAUAAUAAAACUACCGUUUAAAACAACUCUGAAAACAAAAUUUUUAAUAAUUCAUAAUUUAUAAGCAAACAUCACUUAUAAGCAAAUAAUUAAUGAUGGUUAAACUAAUUCAUUGUUAGGCGGAUAUUUAUUAAGGUUAAGACCCCUCUAUCUAACACUAAUAACUAAUCACUGAUAAUAUUUAUGCAAAACUUGUAGCUUAGGAUGAACUCUCAGAGAUGUGGGCGAGGCAACUCAAAGUAGAAGGGAAGGGGUAACCUCUGAUAACAGAGAAAAUUGUAGAGUAAAUUGUAGAUGUGGACCGAAUUUUCUUAAAUUAACAACAGAAAUCUACAAUGAACAGUUCUCGAGAAGAAACUCAAGAAACGUAUAUAAAGCUACAUGAUGACAUAAUAGGAACCUGCAUUGCCUUCAUUCUAUGAUGAAAGUUCAAGAAAUUUUACGUCGAAACUCAAGACAAAGUCUCUCAGACUACAUAUUGCAAAGCAACUGAUUCUAUUGCAAAGCAACAUUACGAAAAAUUGAAUAUUUCACACUCAGUCUAAUAAAAGUAGAUUCCAUUGUCAAUUCCUCAGCAUUUUCCAAACAAAUCCAUGCUCCUCAUUUUAUACUUUCUCUCUUAUUACCAACUUCAUUGAGUUUCAUAUAAGCAUAGUCAAUCACACAACUAAUAUGUGAAUUCACCAUUUCUUACCAAAAACAUUUUAUCAGUGCAAAUUAAUACAUAAUUUUACCUCUCCUCUUAGUGAAAACACAAAGACACAACCACCGAGCAGAUCUCUGGUAAUGGUCUCUACAAAUUCCCUACAGUUCCUAUUGCCAACAAACUCCUCUUGCCAUUCCCUAACUUCAUUGAGCCAGCUAAUCUGGAUGAAAGAAAGGACCUCAGCCUUGAAAUUAGCAUCAUAGUCAUGGAACCUUAAAGCAGACCCAACUUUGUAGCUCAUUACCAGUUAAGUAAAAGUUAUCAAUAGCUGUGUAAAUCAUUGAAACUGCCACAAAAGCAACCCAAAUUAGUUAUGAAAUUGAUUCGAUAAAGGAAAGAGGGGAAGAGGGGAAAUGGGUAACGGAAAAUUAAAGAGAGAUGAAGAUCUGCGCAUGACUACCUGUUUUGAGAAUUAUGGAUUUUUAUCCCUAACUCCAAAUUGCACCAAUUAUAAGUUCAUUAAAACAAAUCUGGAACAGAACAGAUGGAAAAAACUCGAAACAACUCGGCUAGAAUUUGGGCAAGAAAUUCAGAACGGCCAAGAUUUUAAGUGAGAUAAAAGUUAUCCCAUUUUGUUCUGUUUUUUUUUUAAAAUUAAUAGGAGAUAUACUAUCCAUUUCAAGCGGAACAUAAUGGAAUGAACAACCUUGCAUAGAAGACCUAAUUUUAGUGAAACUCAAGUUUAUUGUGUCAAAGAAAAUGUUCUAAAAAAAUGUUUUAAGCAUUAACAAAAUCUAGUUGGCCUAGGCAAUCCACUAUUGUUGCUGUUACCGUUGGUGCAUACUCCAUUACACCAUUGACAUAGUGCAACUGUUUUUGUUUCUUUCUUUCUUUCUUUUAAAAACAUCCAUGUUAUGUUUUUUAUUUGAAGCUUUUUUGUUAAUAUCUUUCGCAAUUGGCCUUGGUAUUUUGUUUCCAUUUUCUCUAUGUUUCCUUCUUCUGUAGUUAGAAAACAUCAUGUCUUUGGGUUUGCGCUUGAUACUGCAAAAUUAAGGACACAAUAGUCAAAGACCACAAAAAAUUUUAUAAGUGAAAGGGGUUGUAGUUGUGAACCCUAAAAUUUACAAGCUUAUUUUCUUAAUAAUAAUAAUAAUAAUAAUAAUAAUAAAGAAGUUUGCCUUCUUAGAAAGUUUACACGGCCUUAAAUUGGUUAGGGACCUUACCUCAACAAGGAAACAAAAAAAAAUCCAAAAUUAUAAAGGAAAGAAGCAUAAAAUCUAAAAUAAGCAACAAAUCUGAAAAUAACAAAGAAAAUUACAAAAAGCUAACAAAACCCGGGGCAUCAGUGAGAGUUUUGAUAUUUAAAGAUUCGAUGGUCUGUAUAAAAAUUUGAGCACAAUCCAAUAAUCGAAUAAAAUUUUUUUUGCUCUUUUGAGCUGUUAUUCUUGUCUAGUACAACCAAACAUUCUCUUAGGCUUAGACCUGUUCUAUUGGUUCAUAAAUACAUUUACUAGGCCAUCAACAUUAUUUAUCUGAGGCAAAUCCUCAUCUAGUUGUAGUAGACCCACAUCUGACUGCUUAGAAUCACUAGUUAUCGUAGGAUCGACUAUAUCAAAAUUGGUUGGUUUCUUGUUUUCAAAAAGAAUUAAAAUUUGAUGCAGAUGAAAGCUAAAAACACAAUAAUUAAAUAGCACAAAAAAUUUUAUGAGCGAAAGAGGCUACAGAUGUGAACCUUCAAAUUCACAAGUUUAUUUUCUCUAAAAUAAUAAUAAUGAAGUUUGUUUUCUUAGGAGGUUUCCAAAGCCAUAAAAAUAUCAAGAAUCCUAUCUUAACUUGGAAAUAAAAAUACAAACUCAAAAUUACAAAGGAAAGAAGCAUAAAAUCUAAAAUAAGCAAGAAAUUAAAAAAUAACAAAAAAAAUCACAAAAAACUACCAAAACUAGAGGGCUCAACAAGAUUUUUGUUAUCUAAAGAUUCGAUGGUCCGCGUAAGAAUUUUAGCAUGAUCUAACGGUCGGAUAAGAAAUUAUGACUCUUUUGAGCUAUUAUUUUCGUUUAACGCGACCAAAUUUUUUUUUGGUCCUAUACUUGUCCUAUUAGUCCAUAAAUACAUCUCCAUGACCUAUCUCCAUGACCUAUCUUUUUUUUUUCCUACUAUAGAUGUUGUUUGACCAUCAUCGUCAUAUGAUUUGACUUAGUUGUAUCGGUUUUCAAUCAGAUCAACUUUAUAUAUUAUGGGUUUACAUGGCUCAUAGUUGGAUUAUUUGUGUUUUUGUUAUUUGUUCUUCCCAGUACUUGUACCAGAAGCUGCUCUCAUAUUUGAAGGAAUGCAAACAAUAUAAUGUUAAUAUGAAACUUAUGAUGCAUAGGAAAUUGCCAUUUAAUUUUCUCGUUUUUAAUUCAAAGAAAAAUCACAAGUAAGUUUUUGUUAGAAAUAACUUCUUCUUUCAAUCAGAAGUGUGUCACUAAAUUGAUUUAUAAGUAAGUUUUUAAAUCGUGGAUUAUAUCUUACAUUAUAUUUUUUUAUUUACAAAAGUUUAUUUGAGUUAUUUUUAUUAAAAAUACUUAUAAUUUAAAAUUAUUUUAAUUCUUUUUUAUCACAAAUUAUUUAUUAAAAACAACUUAGAUUAUCGCUUGAAAUAAAAAAAGAAAAAGAAAAAUUUCUCAGCCUGUUUUCUCUUUACUGAACAACCUCUUUGAUUCUCUAGCAUCUGCUUGGAAAAACCAUUCAACAAGGGAUUCUGCUAGGAAAACAUGCAAUUGUUCUUCUAUCUGAUAUCAGUUUCAAAAUUCUAAACAAAUAAUGCAACAAGUCACAUUUAUUACAAAAAAAGUCACGUUUAUUCCAGACCUCAAGCUGCAUUGCCUAUUUCAAAACCACAAAGAGAACAUCAUACAGAACAACAAAUACCCAAGUCGUUGAGCCUUUAAUUUGAGCAUAAAGGAGAAUGAAAGUCCACGCAUUAAACAGUAGGCACACACAUGAAUAUACAUUAUGCUCUUGUUUUUGAAGAUUCAGACACUUCAAAAGAAAGCUCACGCUCUUAUUUUUGGGAAGUUCUUCUAUGGUAAAUAAGACUGUUACAAUGUGAAGCCCAUUUGUAUCCCAUUGCCAGUGAAACAGUAGGAAUUACUUCCACCAAUCUAAAACAUAUUCGCAGCACCAGAGCUCAAAGACAUGAAUCUCUGUGAAAUCGCCUAAGGUCGAGUUGCUUAUGUAAUAGGCAACCAACCUGCCUAAUGCAAACAGAAGAACAAAGACCAUUCACGCAUACCCAUUACCUGUUUAGCAUGUUUUUCAAAUUCCAAAGCCAAACUAAUCAUCCUACCCAUCAUCAUCAUCACCACCAUCUCCCUUCACCACCUUCCUUCAUCUCCUUCACCACAUACCACCCAUUAUUUCGGGUCCACGUUCUACAAGUGCUGAUUGGCGCAGAGCAACCAGUGCUUGAAUCCUCAGCUACUUCAGAUACCUGUAAUCCAAUCCAAGCAUGGCAUACACAUUUUAACUUCUAAAUCUUAUUAUUGAGCGAAACAAGAAACAAACACACAAAAAGAAAAGCAACAAAUCAAGACAAUUCAGCAGCACCUCUGAUUGAGCUCUUAUUGAACCAUUUGGUGUAGUAGCAAAUUUUGUGAUCAGCUUUGGGCAUUCAAACACCUCCAACUUCUCUAAAUGAGGGAAUAAGAAAUCAUAACAUCCGAGACUGAAGCAUACAAUUCUUGAUAAUUGUUCUAGCAACAGCACCUGCAGAUUCGGGAGCUCCAUCACCUUCUCAACAUUGACAGGUAAAGCAUUCUCAUCCUGAAGCCAUGGCUACUGGGAAGAGACUCUUCAACAUGUUGCAUUUUCUGACAUCAAUUUCACAUAAAUUAGGGAAACAUAAAGAUUGAAGAUGAUCUCCUGACAAUAUCUAAUCCUUUCCAUCAUCAUUAUCCCUAGCAAUGAUUUGCUCUAAUUCCUCACAACUUUCUAUGUUUAGAAAAUUCAGUUGAACUAGACUAGCAAUCAUGCUGUCUGAGAAUACAUGUGUUAGUCUUUUACACUUACUCACCACCAAAGUAGUCAAAUUGCUCAGCACGAGACCCUUCCAUAAACACCUCAUGCUUGUUUCAGGCAGGGACUUCAAUUUUAAUGUUUUCAAACUGUCAACUCCUACAUCAGAAGACAACAAAGGCACUAAUUUGUUAGAUAUAAGUCCUAGUAUGUUUUGGUAAAUAGAUGAAUCAAUUAUCCCCAAUACUUACUUAUCAACAAAAGGAUAUAUGUAGACAUGGCAAUAGACAACUCAAUAUUAGCAAAUGGAGGUUUAUCGUCCUGUCCAAAUACUUCCAUUAUUUGGGGGAAGAGCCUCAUUUUCACUCAAACUGGGAAAGCAUAAAUCUAGGUAUCAUUUCAUUACAAUAAUUAAUCUCUUACUUCUUAAGCCCUGUAUCAAGAGACAGGGAAUGAUACAGUUAGACAACUCCUUUUAAAUUUAGUGGAUGGCUAAAGGAUUUAUCUCCACUUAUCAAUUACUUCAGUUUUAGAAAUUUGGAGGAAGAAAUCACAAUGUAUUGAAGUUGACAACCAGAAGCCCAAAAGAAAACAAUUUUGACGAAUACCCACCAAACAGUUGAAGUGCUGCUGUAACUGAGAUUUUUUAUUAUAUGUAUUUUUUGUGGUCCAAUGGAUAAAUAAUUUUUUUUUCUUUUAUUUUAUCAGCUUAAUUUUGCAUGUGGAAUAUUGAGUUUUCUGUUAUUUUUUCAGACACAGAAUUGAAUCCUUUAUAUAUUCUUAAAACCAAAUUUGAAUUCUAAGUUCCUAAAUGAAGGAAUAAUAAAGAUUGUUGCAUGUACAAAUUCUCCUUAAAAAAAUUAACAAAUAAUAAAGUCCCCUAUGUUAAUAAGAUUUAAUUAUAACUUAGCCCUGUAAUUUCUUAAAAUUAAUUAUUUAGCCCUGUAAUAAUAAAGUCCUCCAUUUACUAUAUUUUUCUCUAAAAAAAUGCCUUCCUUCCUAAUGAAAUUUCUUCAAAUGCAUACUUUUGUUGUCCUUAUUCUAUUUUUCAAGAAUGAAGAAAAACCUCUAAAUAGCAUUAGGUUCCAUGAAAUUGAAUGUUUACAUUAUAAUUCUUCUAUAGAAGUCUUCAAUAUUCUAUCACUUAAAAUAUAAAGCUUCAAACCUCCAAAUUUUCAAGACCCCAUCUCUCAAUCUCAAAACCAGAAACAACCCCUUCUCCAUUUAACCGAAUCUCAUAACUCUAGGAAAGGAGAGGGAUACGACUUUUGUAAAUUGAUUUAAUAUAUUUUUGACUUUUGAUUUUAAUUUUCUUUUUAAGUAUGUUAGUUAAAAUUGCUUUUGAUUUAAUUUUUUUUGUUAUAAAUUGGAUUCAAAACUUUGAUUUAAUAAUAAAAAAAUCUUAACUUUAGUUUGUGGAUUGUAUACUAAAUUCCUUAAUAAAAAUAGUAAUUUUGAAUCUUUUUUACAAAUAAUGCUUAUAACUUAUGGUUAUUUUAAUUAAUUUUUUUCAUAAAAAAACUUUUAAAUUAUAGUUCAAAGCUACCAGAUUAGGCAUGUAGCUUAUGAAGGGUUUGUAAGCAGCAAACAAUUAAUUAGAAAUCAGAGGAACAUUUAGAGGAUAGAAUAUUUAGAAUCUCUAGCAAUAGCCAGCAAUGUAUCUGCUCGAAAAAACCAUUGAACAUGAGAUUGUUCUGCUAGAAAAACAUGAGAUUGCUCUGCUAUUUGAUAUCAGUUUCAAACUUUUGAACAAAUAAUACAGCAUAAAGUCUCAGUCAUCACAUGCCCAUUCAAAAACAUUUAUUCCAGAUCUCAAGCUGCAUUGCCAGGCCCGUUUCCAAAACCACAUAAGCAUAUGCAAUAGAAACAGAGCAUCAAACUGACAGAGAAAGCAUGAGAAUGAAAAUCCACACAUUAAACAAGAGUAAACAUUAUGCCUUUAUUUUUGAAGGUUCACACACUUCAAAACAAACACGAAUGGGCAAGCAACAUGCGCCCUUACUUCUGGAGGCUUGUACGAUAAUGACUAAACACACAGACAAGUCAAUAUUCUUUUCUUUGUUUUUUUGAGCUGAAAGGAGAAUGAAAGUCCACACUUUAAACAGUAAGCACACACGAGUAUACAUUAUGCCCUUGUUUUUUUGAACAUUCAAACACUUCAAAAGAACCUCAAAUGGGCCAACACUCACACUCACUUAUUUUUUGAGGUUCGCACAGUAAUGACUAAACACACAACAAUAUUACAUUACAUGGGUAAACAAGCAGAUAACCUUAUUCGCACAUAGAUAUAGCUUAGGGAACUUGAUGAUUCCAUCUCUGGUGAGUGCAUCUCCUUCUCCAGUGUAAAAUAUUUGCUUUACAUUGUCAGCAAAAUCAACCUCCAUCUCUUCCAGGUUCAGAAGACUUGGAGACACAGAGACAGGGAAGACAUAUUCCAGUUUACCACAGUAACUUAUAGAGAGACUUCUUAAUUUUGGGAAGCAAAGUGACUCUGUAGUUAUUUCCCUUGCAUCAUCUUUUUCUCUGAUAAGAUGCUUCAAUUCACCGCAACUACCUAUGUUAAGGCUUUCUAGCUUUGGCAGACUUUGAGCGAGGGACAGUGUGAAGAUAAAUAUCAAUUUGUUGAGAGAAAUCAAAUUCAGAUGAGCAAGAUUUUGAAGGCUGACAUGGUUGGCGGGCCCUUCCAUAAACAUUUGAGCUCAGGUAACUUGAUCAGCUGUAACUCUGUAAAAGAUGACAGCUCCUUCUCCUCACUGCUUCCUUCAUCAACCUCACCCAAUUCAAAUACCUCUUCCAAUGAUUUGCAGUCGCAAAUGUGCACACUCCUUAGAAUACUUGUCUCAUAGUUGAGUUGGUUAAUGUAUGUUGAUUGAUCAGAAGGUAGUGGGUUCAAGCUAUACUAGGAAUAAUAUUAUGUUUUUUCAAAUUACUAGCAAAGGCGUGUGGGCUUGUCUAAGGCUCACAUGCACGUGCCUGAGUUUUGUUGUAAUAGGACGAGUCAUGUGUUUGGUUUUUUUUUUUUAUUAGUCAUUUUAGUUUUUAUUUUUUUAAUAUAUUUUUUGAAUUUUAUUUUUUAAUAUUGAUUUUUUUAUUAAAUUUUAUUUUUCAAUAUUGAAUUAAUAAUAAAUUAGUUUUUCUAGUUUUUUAUCAUGUAAUAAAAUAAAAAAAUUAAUUUAACUCAAUAUAAUUUAUAACCCUAAUGUAUUUGAUGGGUUGACUAGAGUUAACCUGAACUAUUUUUUUUUUUAGAUAAGUAAAAGACAAAUUAAAAAAACAAAGUAAUCUCAUCUUUUAAUACGUUGGUCCAAGAUGCACCAUGAUAUCAGAGUUUUAAAACCCGGACCGGCCCUGUGGGUCGACCCGUGACCCGGCCGACCCGGGUAUGGGACCGGUCCGGGUGGAGGUAAUAACCCACUUGGGAGUUGACCCGGUGAAACCCGGUCAACCUGACAGGUCGACCAGGGAUCCAGGCCACCCGGUCAAACCCGCAUGAGACCCGGUCUCUUUUUCAUUUUGGCCUUGAUUUGCGCCACUGCUAUUUUCGAUGAUAAAGCUGCAAAUUUGACACAAAAACACGAGAACCACAAAAGGGUUGUUCUUCGUUUCUUGAAAAAAUGGAUAAACAAGUGGGGUUUCUGUCAAUUACCUUGUGAUAUUGUAAAAAACGAAGUGUACAACAAGAAGAAGAUAGUGGAGAGAGGAAGCUUAGAAAGUGCCAUAACUGAGGAAGAACUUGAGUUUCACCACUUCAUCUCCUGGUUCUGGUUCAGCUAAAGAUUCUUGCAUUAUCUUGUAGGGUCUUGUGGUUCUCUUUUAAGUGAAUUUUUUAGGUACUGUACAGUUUCAUUAUGUACUGUACAGUUGUUUAAUAAGAAUUAUGCAAACACAAGAGAGAAUCUAAACCCUAAACACAAAAGAAGAAGGAGAAAAUUGUACCAGUGGAGGAGAAGGAGGAGGCUUGCUUGAUUUGGUUCGCUGGAGAAGAGAUCUAGAGAGAAUUAUGAAUAAAAAUCACUACUAAUUUGCGAUUUGAAGAGCACUGUCAAGAAAACUGACAUCACAGAGGAGAUGUUGUCGGUGAUGAUGAUAAUGAUCUCACGCGAGAGUCCGGUCCGGAUUAUUACCCAACGUUACCACUUUAUCCCAAACUCUCUGCCGUUUCAUCAUAGGUUUUUUUUUUGAUUGACCAGGGUUAACCCGGGUCAACCUAUCUGACCCGUGACCUGAUCACUUGACCGGGUCAAUGAUCAGAUCGGGUUUUAAAACUAUGCAUGAUAUGGUUGUAGUUUAUUUGCCUUUUCCUUUUAAAAAUGUUGUCUCCUUUGUAAGGAAUCCUUGGUUCCCAACAGCAAUUGUAGCAGAGUUGAAGGUUGCGUAAAAAAAUUCUCUAAACUCCACUAAGCAUUAGAAUUUUUAAAAGACAAAACGGGGACAAGUGGGAGACGAAGAAAAAGACAAAAGUAAUUUAAUCUAUUGAUGUGGUGAUCCAAGAUACACCAUGAUAUGGUGUUCUUCCAUGAAGUCUAAGAUACACCGUCGUAUUGUUUCAUAUAUAUUUAUAUAUAUGACAAUAAUAAAACAACCGUUUAAAACAACUCUGAAAACAAAAUUUUUUAUAAUUUAUAAUUUAUAAAACAUGCGAUAAAAUAAGUCAUAGUGAAUGUUUUCAUUUGGCAUUUAAUUCAUGACCUUAUUCUUUGAUCAAAUUGCUGCGAUACUCGUAACUAGACCAUUAAUUGAAUGUUCUUGACUAGCUAUUGUUUCUCAUUGGCAAGAAUCAUUGCCAAUUAUCAUAACAUGUUAGUGAUUUAUUAGAACUAGUUCUAGUAUCGCCGACUUCACUCACCAAAUAUCAUUAUUUUAUUCAUAGCCAUAUGAGAGUUAUUAUCCAACCAUUUUCAAAUCCAUUCAAAAACCUUGGUAAAUCAAUUUAUAAAAAAUUCUUACUUACAAAAACUUGUAGGUCUAGUGUUACCAAUCCUUAUCUUGGGAUUAUACAUGUUCUAUUAGUCCAUAAAUAUAUUUGCUAAGCUAUCAACAUAAUUUGUUUGGGGCAAAUCCUUAUCUAGUUAUAACAUACUCACAUUUGAUUGCUUAAAAUCACUAGUUAUUGUAGGAUUGACUACAUCAAAAUUGGUUGGUUUUUUGUUUUCAAAGAGAUUUAAACUUUUGAGGCAGACGAAAGCUAAAAACACAAUAAUCAAAGAACACAAAAAAAAAAAAAUUAUAAGCAAAGGGGACUAUAGAUGCAAACCCUUAAAUUCACAAAUUUAUUUUCUCUAAAAUAAUAAUAAUGAAGUUUGUUUUCUUAGGAGGUUUACAAAUCCUUAAAUAUGUCAUGAACCUUACCUCCACUAGGAAACAAAAACACAAAAUUACAAAGAAAAGAAGUAUAAAAUCCAAAACAAGCAAGAAAUGAAAAAAAUAACAAGGAAAAUCACAGAAACUAUCAAAACUAUAGACCUAAACAAGAUUUUUGAUAUCUAAAGAUUCGAUGGUUAACGUAAAAAUUUGAGCAUGAUCCAAUGAUCGGAUAAGAAAUUGUAACUCUUUUGAGUUGUUAUUCUUGUUUGACGCAACCAAACCUCUUCUUGAUCCUAAAUCUGUCUUAUUGGUUCAUAAAUAUAUUUCCAUGACCUAUAUUUUUCUCUUCUUUUUUUUCCAUUAUCGAUGGAGUUUGACCAUUAUUGUCAUAUAGUUUGACUUAGUCGUAUCGAUUUUUAAUCAUAUCAACUUUAUAUAUUAUGGGUUUACAUUUACUAUUUGAAAAAAAAUGCUCACAAGUCCAUUGUUCACACCUCAAAUUCGUAACUGCAGCGAUUCGUAGGCAACGAAACCAGUUAAGAGACUAGAGAGUAAACAUGCUACAAAGUUAGCAAGUAAGGGUUUAGAUUAGAUUAUUUGUUGUCUUGUUUCAAAUAUCAGUCUCAACUCGUUUAAUAAACUAGUGGUGCAUUGAUCCUUGCAUUAAUAAACCAGAAGCUGCUCUCAUCUUUGAAGGAAUGCAAACAAUUGUUAAUAUGAAACUUAUGAUGUACAAAUUCUAAUCUUUGUAAGAAGCCGUUUUGCUGCCCACCGGCGGCCAUCUGAUCAGAGAACAAUAUUAUAUUUUUUAAACUCUUCACUCUCAUAAAAACAAUUUAUAUAAUUAUAAAUAGGAAAAAAUACAAAAAAAUAAGAUUAAAUAUUUUUUAGAAAUUACAUAUUACUGUUUUAGGUUUUUUUCUUAAUUAGAGAUAAGUUGAAUAAAAGUAGUAAUAAUUAUAUUUUUGUGAAAAAAGGUUACUACAACUCCUAAUAAUUAGUUUCGUGUAAAAAAAUAAAAAUAGUAAUAGUAAUACGUUAAUAAAAUUUUAAAGAUAUUUUAAUUCAAUUAAGUAUUUCAACACAAAAUUUAUGUUCUUAUACAGUUAUAUAUUUAUUCUAACAAAAAAUAUGAUUUCUAUGUUUAAAUUUUGGUAUUAAUAACGGAUACAACAACGAGGCAGUUAAGUUUCUUUGAUAAAAUAAAAUCAUUAAAAAAAUAAAAAUAAGCUAUCUUAUAUAAUUAAGAAAAUUUGAUUUUUUUGUCAAAUUAAUUUUUUUAAAUCGUUUUAAUAUGGUAGUAUCGAAACUAAAUUUUAAAAAAUAAAAAAAAUUGAUAUAUAUUUUUUUAAAAAAUAUUAUGAAAAGCAAUUGUUAAUAUUUGUUAAAACAUUAUUGUUAAUAUUUCUAGUCGGUUGCUAUAUAUAUAAUGGCAUGUAAUUGGAAUAAUAUAUGUUAACUUGUACACAACUUAAUAAAUUAAUGAGAAAACUAAAGUAGCCGGUCAUGUGGGCGCAAUGGACCUCAAUACAAGUUGACAACAUUUUAAGUGGAGUUUUGCAUAUUUUUGAAAGUUUUUUUAUGCAUUUUAAUUUAGCCAAACCUUAAAAUAGAAUCACACCCUAAUCCAAAACAAUACACACUCCAACAAUGUCACAUGUUUCUAUUACAAAGUUUCCAUAUGUACAAGUAAUCCCCUGAAAUUAUGAAGAUGGUUCAACAAGAUGAUUCAAUACCGCAAUUGUGAUUUUUGAUGCAUAGCCGUAAUGCCUCAUAUUUUUAACGAACCAUAUAUAACACCUCAUUUUAAAAAGGGGAUUAUUAUUAUUAUUAUAAUGUUGUCUGCAUAUAUAUAAUUAACUGCCUUAAAAAGGGGAUUGGUAUUACAUCACCUUACGUGCAUUAUAGCUUUUAACUCCUAUAUUCAAAUUAUUUGAUCAGUGUAUGUGACGUAGCGGAAGUCUCUUAAAUAAAAGGAUCACCGUCCCUUUGUAGAUAAUUGCUCGAGUCCACGAGCAGGAAGUAGAUUACUCGAAUCCACGAGUAAGAGAUUGAGGUUCUGAAUGAAAUUCUUAUUUCAAUGAAAAUUUUCAGUGUCUGUAACGAGGAUUGGUUGCUUGUAUUUAUAGCUACCAAUCCUAAUUCCAAUCAGAAACGUACUUGCAGAGAUAAUUAAAAACAUAUAAUAUUCCUACUUAAAAACGUAAACUAAAGUUCUAACUUUUAAACAAUAAUAACAGUAGCAGAGGAGCACUUAAAUAGUGGAAUCCGUGUGCAAUAAGGAAAAGAGCAGUAGUGGCAGAGCAUGCUUCUUUGAAUCCUGACGUGUUCUUCCUUGCAGCACUAGGAUUCCAGUUGGUCUAGACUUCCUUCAUUAAGCUGUCCUACAUCAGUCUCCCCUUCUUGAACAGAACUCGUCCUCGAGUUGACCAGGUGAGAAGGACAUUCAUCUGGAGGAUGAUAGUCAAACAGGUCAGCAACAUUGAAGGUGGGGGAUAUGGUCAUUUCUGCAGGAAGGUCCACAACAUAUGCAUUGUCAUUAAUCUUCUGUAGGAUUUGGAAAGGGCCAUGCUUUUUAUUGUUCAGCUUGCUAUACGUUCCUGCUAGUAGUCGCCCCUUACGUAGAUACACCAUCACAAGAUCUCCUACCUGAUAGACCUUGGCUCGUCGUUUGCGAUCUACGACUGUUUUGUAUCGGACAUUAGCUUCCUCUAGAUUCGCUCGCACUUCGUCCUGAAUUGUUUUAAUCCGGUCAGCCAUAUGCUCUGCUGCGAUGCUCAUUCCUGGAAUUUUAGGCAGCGGUGCUAGGUCCAGUGCAUGAUGUGGUGGCUGGCAGUAGACAAUUUGGAAUGGAGUUUUUCUCGUGGACCUGUUUAGCAUGCUGUUAUAGGCAAAUUCAGCCUGUGCCAGUGUAAGAUCCCAUUGUUUUGGUCUCUCCCCUGAGAGGCAGCGGAUUAAGUUUCCCAGAGUGCGGUUUACAACUUCUGUCUGUCCAUCGGUUUGAGGGUGGCUAGUGAUACUGAAUUGCAAUGAUGUAUCAAACCGUCGCCAUAAUGUCCGCCAAAAGUGGCUUAAAAAUUUUCUGUCUCGAUCCGAAGUGAUGGAUUUAGGAACUCCAUGUAGACGAACCACUUCUUUGAAGAACAGAUUUGCGAUGUGCACGACAUCUGAUGUCUUUUUGCAUGUGAUGAAGUGAGCCAUUUUGGAGCACCUGUCCACUACUACAAAGACGGAGUCAAAUCCAUGCUGAGUUCGUGGAAGCCCCAGGAUGAAAUCCAUAGAUAAGUCUUCCCAAGGGGCUGCUGGGAUGGGCAACGGCAUGUAGAGACCUGUGUUCUGCGUGUGUCCUUUGGCGGCUUGGCACGUGGGACAACGUUUGACAUGGUUACCAAUGUCCCGUUUCAGCUGGGGCCAAUAAUACCUCUCUUCUGCCAUGACCACUGUUUUGUCCCGUCCUAGAUGGCCCCCCAAACCGCCACCAUGUAGCUUGCGGGUUAUCUGUUCUCGUAAGGAGCUCCUGGGGAUGCAUAAUUGAUUGCCCCGGAAUAAAUAUCCCUCUUGAAUAUGCAUGCCUUCCUGUGAGCGUCCUUGUAGACAUUUGGUCCAGAUAGGGCCAAAAUCUUCAUCAUCCGCAUACAAAUCCUUAAGGCAGUCGAAACCCAUAACUUCAGUCCGUAUGGUGACAAGCAAUAGCGCCCUUCGACUUAAAGCAUCCGCUACUUUAUUUAAUUGCCCAGCCUUAUGUUUCAGGGAGAAGGUGAACCUUUGGAUGAAGGAUACCCAACGUGCAUGCAUUCGGUUCACAUUGUUCUGGUUAUUAAUGAAUUGUAAGGCGUGGUGAUCACUGAAGAGGAUAAACUCCCUUUGCACUAAGUAGUGCUCUCUAACCUUUAAAGCACGAAACACAACAUAAAGUUCAAGUUCGUAGGUGGACCAUUUCUUGCGAGAUUCACUUAGUUUCUCGCUGUAGAAAGCAACAGGCCUACCUUCAUGAGACAUUACAGCACCAACGCCAACAAUAGACGCAUCACACUCCACUUCAAAUAAUUUAUCGAAAUCUGGCAGUGCGAGAACUGGAGCAGAAGACAACUUUUCUUUAAUUAGUAUAAAGCUUUGUUCUGCUUCAAGUCCCCAAUGGAAUUUCCCUUUCUUCAUGCAUUCAGUGAUCGGUGCGACGAUUCGACUAAAAUUUCUAACAAACCGUCGAUAGAAUGUUGCUAGGCCAUGGAAGCUACGCACCUCGCUGACAUUCUGUGGAGUAGGCCAUUCCCGGAUGGCUCUUAUUUUGCCUUCAUCGACUUUAAUCCCCUCAGCACUCACAACAAAUCCCAAAAAUAGCAAACUACUGGUCAUUAAGUCACACUUUGUCAAAUUAACAUACAGCUUGUUCUGUUGUAAUACUGUUAGCACUUCCCUCAAGUGCUCCAAGUGGUCAAACUUGCUUUGGCUAUAGAUUAAUAUAUCGUCGAAGUACACUACAACAAAACGGCCAGUGAAGGGUUUAAGUACCUGAUUCAUUAGGCGUAUGAAGGUACUCGGGGCGUUGGACAGUCCAAAGGGCAUUACUAGCCAUUCAUAUAAGCCCUCUCCCGUCUUGAAAACAGUUUUCCAUUCAUCCCUGGGUCUAAUUCGAAUCUGAUGAUAACCACUCCGUAAAUCAAUUUUUGAAAAAAAUUUCGACCCUGACAACAUGUCUAGCAUAUCCUCCAGGCGAGGAAUUGGAAACCGGUACUUAAUUGUGAUUUUGUUAAUGGCUCGGCUGUCUAUGCACAUGCACCAACUACCAUCUCUCUUUGGUACUAGCAAGGCUGGCACCGCGCAAGGACUCAUACUCUCUUGAACUAGUCCCUUUCUAAUCAGCUCUUCUACCUGCUCUUGUAGGAUCUGACUCUCUUUCGGACUCAUUCGAUAAUGGGGUCGAUUUGACAGACUAGCCCCUGGAGUUAGAUCAAUCUGGUGCUGAAUAUCGCGCAUGGGGGGUAUUCCAUCUGGUAGCUCUGAUGGUAUGAUUUCCUGAAACUCUGCUAGUAAGGGUCUUAGCUCCUGAGGAAUGUUGUGAAGUUCGGUACCGAUUCCUCCCCCAAUUACUACUGCAAAAAGCUCUCCUGUCUUCUUGGCUUCGUCCAUAAAUUUUUCCCCAUCGACCAGAAGCACUGACUUCCCUUUGGUUUUCGGUUCGACUACAGAAAAUUCUUCCUUUAUUGGACCCAACACGACUUUCUGCCCUUUACUCCUGAAGAUAUACACAUUAUCAUGCCCCUUGUAUAUAGCAUCCACAUCAAACUGCCACGGUCUGCCUAGAAUUAUAUGACAGGCGUCCAUUUCAACUAUGUCACAAGUAACGUUGUCCAGGUAAUUUUGCCCAAUGGAGAAUUGAAUGCGGCAAAUUUCUGUGACCCUUGCUUCUGCACCCUGUUUGAUCCAGCCGAUUGACACGACCAAAAGAUUGAUGUCUUCUCCCAAGUGCAGGAGUGUCGAAGUAAUAAAUAACCCGGCAAGACCGGGGUCGAACCACAGGGAGGUUAAUUGUAUAAAUUAUAAACAACAAUAAUACAACAACAAUAGUAACAAUAAUAACAAUAACAAUAACAAUAAUAAUAAUAAUAGUAGUAGUAGUAGUAGUAGUAGUAAUAGUGAUAGUAAUAGUAAUAGUAAUAGUAAUAGUAAUAGUAAUAAUAAUAAUACCAAUAAUACUAUUAAUAAUGAUAAUAAUAAAGAUGAAGAAGAAGAAGAAGUUGAUGAGAACUUUGAGAUGGAAGAUUAACGUAAGGAUUAAACAAUGAUAACAACAAAUGUCAAGGUUAGAGGAUCCACUAAUGGUAUUUCAAACAAGUAUAGUAUAAACUCUUUUUAUUCAAUUGGAAACCACACACAAAGGAGGUUCCAAUCAGAUUAUAAAUUGUUAACAUGAUUACAUUAGUUAUCUUAUUCGAAUAAUGCUAAUACUUGUAAAUGUUGUCAGGCAUUCAUGAUUAUAACUUAUGUUAACAACAAAUCAAGUUCCUUUCAUAGCUCAGGUGUCGGUUAUACCAUACAGUAUGGGCUAUGAAAGUGCCAAGUAUUUGUUGUACCAAGUGUUAUACAACAUAAAUCUAGAUUAACCAUUUAACAAGCAAAGUAUUAAAAGUGAACAAGAUAACAAAUACAAAGCAUGUUAGUAUCCAACAUUAAGGUCCAUGUUAAGUUUAUAUUAUACUUAUUCUUACACCAUUAGUGUACCCUUUUCACCUUGACAUAAUUAACUUAGCUACACAUUAUGAAAGAAAGAAACAUAAAUAAACAAGAUAAGAACAUGAAUGAGAAAGAAGUUAACUAAGUAAAGAAAAGGAAAUGAAAGGCAUAAACAAGAGAUUAAUAUAAACAAAACUUAAGCAUUACAAAAUAUAAAGAGAGAGAAAGAGCAUGAUCUUGAUCUGAACACCAAGAUGCCUAAAUACAUGGCAAAUGCCUCCUUUUAUAGGCCAAAAUUCGGAACUAUUGAUUUGUUGACUAAUUGAUGAAUGGGUGGCCACAUCUUGACUUGAUGACAAUUCUUAUCUUCUUGUCUGCCAACAACGUCAUUGAUAACGUCAUAAUUUGAACCGACUUCAAUCAUGAACGUUCUAGGCAAUUGUCUCAUCUUUCCAGGGUAAAAAUUUGAGAUCAUUUGGACUUCUAGAACUCGAGAUAUGGGCUGAACACUGAACAGUGUCUGGGCUGCAGGAUAGAUUCAGACUUCUUCGUUGUUGCUACAAUUUGGACUUGAAAACGGCCUUCUUAAAUCUUGGACUCCUCAUGAAAGUUGUAGGCCUAUGUCUUAGCUUUCCAUCCAUAUAAGGUGGACCUAAAUCCGAGAUCUACAGCUCCAGAUAUGACCCGAUUACCAAACAGUGUUCCAGUUUGGACUGCACCAACAUCUCUUUUCUAAGUUUGACCAUCUCUUUGUCCUUUCAAUUUCAGUACUUCAACUCAUCAAUCAAUUCUUUCAUUUAUGUGAUAGGCCUGCAUUUAAGAUGAACAUUUACCAUAAAUUAAAGGUAUCUUAUAUUAUUAGAUAUGUUAUUAUAAAACAUGCUUUAGUUAAGGAGUUAUUGAUACUUCAAGUGCAAAAUGAUGAUAUAAAACCUUGAUAAAAAUGCACUUUUAAGUACUAAUCACACCCCCCAACCAGCUUAUUACUAGUCCCUAGUAAUCAAAGCGUUAAAAUAGAAAAACAAUUUGCAACUUUCACAAAGCAAGGCAUUCAUCAUUCAACUUCCAUUAAUCUAUCCAGAUAAACAAACUCUCAUUAAAUUUUAUAUAUCUGCUCAAUAUCUCUUAAACAAAAUAUUAAUAAACCUUCCUUGUUAUGUGCUCAAUGUAUGAAACAUAGAUGAUGGGGCUUCUAUUAGAAGAAAACAAUAUUUUGUUCUAAUGUUUAAGGUUAACUUCCUUGGGUUGGGAUUAUUUUAUUUUAUUUUAUUUUUUUAAUUUUUUAUAUAUAUAUAUACAUGUAACUUAAAACACAAUGCAUCUUUAACCCAUGUAACGAGCUUUCAGCUAAUGACUCCCAGACCAGUUGAUCUUAGGGCAUUAGGUGUUGAGACACCCCUACGAGCUUAGUAACUCGGGUUGCAGAUACUGAUACAUAGAUAGUGCAAUGUUUGAUUCCCUUAAGUUUUUCUCCUUAACCCAUGUAACAAGCUUUGGGCCAAUAGAUCCCAAGUCAGUUGACUUUAGGGUAUUAGGUGUUAAAACACCCCUUCGGGCUUAAUUGCUUAGGUUAGGGAGGCUACGAAACCAAACUUAUCUAUGUUUUUAUUAUCAUCAUUUUUUUUUCUUCUUUUUUUUUUUGAAAAUUAUAUAUUAUCCCUAUCCCUUAGUUGUUACCUUUAACAAAAGAACAUAAAUAAUGUAAUAAUCCAAUAUGCAACCCACAAUCAUAUGUUAAAGUGUGUGUGUGAAAAUGAAGGUUUAAGAAUACUUGUUAAAUGAGUAUAUGAGCAGAAUCAAGUGAUAACAAUGUGAGAGUUUUGUAAACCUGAAUAUUUCAAGAAGUAUUCUAAUAGUCCUUGUUAUUAAUAUUGCAAAUAACCAUUAGAAAAUGUUUACUAAGAUGCGUCUCAAGAGUCAAUAAAAUUCCCCCUUACUCUGCCAUCCUAGUAAUAACAGUUUUGCCAAAUGGUUUUUAAAAACAAAAACAGUUAGUUGGUUAUUUUUUUUUUAAAUACUUCUACCCUCUCCCCCCAACCAAAACGAGACAUUGUCCUCAAUGUCCUAAGGUAGAAAGAUAGAGUAUAGAAGACAUCACCUGAAACAACGAACACUGACAAACCUGAAACACACUUAAACAAAUAUAAGAAGUAACAACACAAAAUAAUAUGCUAUUAAUAAAACCAAAAGACACAAGGAUUCACAAACGAAGGCUCAGAUCCAAUCUAAGCUUUUUACGGCUUUCCUUAGUUGACCAAUUUAUGCGACUCAUGGAAGGAUCAAUUACAGGGGUGAAAGAUUGUAGUUGGUCGAUCAAUUGUUCAGCAGUAGCAGCAGAGAUUAUGAUUUGUCAUGCCGAAGAUGUUAGAAAUUCCUGUUCCACAACUUGAUCAAGAAAAGACAACAAAUUAUCAUAAAAACCAUUAACAUUGAGCAAACCUAUAGGUUUAUGGUGAAUGUGCAGUUGGGCCCAAGAGGAAAUAUGAAAGAUCUCUUCCAAUGUGCCCAGACCACCUGGUAAGGCAAUGAAGGCAUCAGCAUGGUUAAACAUUGUAUUCAUUCGAUCAAACAUUGUGGAUACCUGUAGUUCCUCUCCAAUUGUUUUCCCAAUGAAGUUCCCUUUUGCUAAAGCUUUGGGGACGACCCCCAAAACUUGACUACCUCCUAAAAAUGCAGCUAUUGUCACACCCCCCAUUAACCCAAGGCUGCCGCCCCCAUACACUAAAUGAAUCUUUCUCUCAGCUAGGACCUGACCAAGAUGAUUUGCUGCUUCUAAAAAUGCUAUUUCCUUCCUAGGACUGGAUCCACCGAAAACACAAAUAUUUUUUAUGUGAUAACUUGAGGGACCUACCAUUUCUACACACUUCUAUAUCUGUCUAAUGUAAGGGUUGAGUAGAAAUGAGGGGAAGGAAGAGAAGAUUUUAUAGAUGAGAAAUUGAAGAUGCAAUCAUACCCCUAUAUGUAGACCAGCUGGAGUCUCACACACUCUUUCUCUCUCUCUCUCUCUCUCUAUUUAUUUAAUUAUUUAUUUUGAAAAAGCAUGUGUAUGUACAGGUAGUUGUGAUUGUGGCUCACAUCUUCCCUUGGUUUUACGUCCAAGAACGGCUUAAACGCCCUUUAUGGGUCGGGGAUAGGCUUCCCAUCCAGUUUUCUUAAAAACUGGCAAACAAGGUCUUUUUUAGUCAGAUUCCCAAGACUAAGUCGAUCAUGUUCUUUAUGAAAAUGGGGCCAUAAAUCAUGAAUAGCACGAUGCACAUCUCCACUAGGAUGCGUCUCAAGGGUUAAUAGAAGAUUAUCUAAAGACCCCUUACUCAGGCCAUCCUUAAUGAAUUGUAUUUUAUCUUCACGGUUUAUAGAUACCAUUCCUAAAGAACGACAUGUUGCAUUACAAGUCCAUCUGGCACAUCUGUGACAGACUUUUAGUCGUUUUGCACGACGUUUCUUUGCAAAAGUGCUUUUACCUGUUCCAGGCAUGUGUGAAAUGAAAGAAUUGGAGGACUCACCUGAUAAUCAGACCUUUGCUUCAAUCAGCCAGCGAAUAUCUUCAGAAAUUCCAUGAUUCAUUAACAACUUCAAUCUUGCACACCUAGCACGGUAAAUUUUUAUAAUCACAUUCUGAGGCAGAGCGGGAAAGUACUUUUUCAAUUUUUCAAGAGUGGUGUCCAUUUUCAAAUGAGAAUUGGAGAAGAGAUUUAGAGAAGGGAGAAAGAGACAAGAAUUGCACAAAUAUAUACAGAUAUCAGUUAUUAUGGGAAACUGAAAGAACCGACUGAAGUCACGAAGUACCGUUAUCCGCCAUUUGACCAGGAUGAGAGACUAGCAAAACAAGAGUCACACCAAAAGGAAACACAAAAACAAUGUGAGAAAAACAAAAUAAUCAACCUUUAUCUACAGGAUCAUUCAAACCAAUGGAUUCAAUUUCACUAGGAAAAUUAUCAAAGUAAGUUUUCAAACGAUGUCCAUUUCCCUUAGAAACAUUGUCAUUCUUUGGAUUCUCAAUAUCAAAGGCCCCAUAAGGAUACACAUGUUUCUCAAUAAAUGGACCGCUCCAUCUUGAUCUUAGCUUUCCAGGAAAUAAAUGGAGUCGAGAAUUAUAAAGCAAAACUUUUUGACCAGUAUCAACUUUUUGACAAUUUUCACAAGUUUUACAGAAUGCAUGUGUGUCCUUGAACAUGGUGGGCCAAUAAAAUCCAUUUUGUAAGAUUUUUGCAGCUGUCUUUUUUGACGAGAAAUGGCUCCCACAUGCUUCAGAAUGACAAAGUUUAAUGACAUUACUUACCUCAUUGUCAGGAAUGCAUCUUCGAAAUAUUUGAUCAGGACAAUAUUCGAAUAAGUAAGGGUCAUCCCAAUAAAAUUUAUUCACUUCGUUCAAAAACUUACCUUUGUCUUCGGUACUCCAAUGAGUUGGCAAAUCUCCUGUAGCAAGAAAAUUGAUAUUUUUAGCAAACCAAGGCAGUGAACUAAGAGAAAGUAAGGAUUCAUCAGGAAAGUAAUCAUCGAUUGGUGUGAUGUUGGAUGUCGAAUCUGUUGUCACUCUUGACAAAAGAUCCGCAUCAACAUUUUCGGUGUCUUUUUCAUUCGUGAUUUCUUCUUGAGAAUAAAUCAUUUGCAAAUCUUCAGAUUCAUCCAAUUCAAUUUUACUCAAAGUAGAUUCAAGUUGAUGAUAAACUAAUUCUUCAAUAGAAUCUACUUCUUGUAAAUCAUUAUCAUCUCCAGGUUGCUUGCAAAUGUUAAAAAUAUUCAUCUCCAAUGUCAUGUUCCCAAAUGAUAGCUUCAUCAGUCCAUUCCUACAAUUAAUCAAUGCAUUAGAAGUUGCAAGAAAUGGACUUCCUAAAAUAACAGGAAAUGAAUUACAUGCUUCAACAGGUUGUGUGUCCAAGACAAUAAAAUCCACAGGAUAAAUGAACUUAUCGACUUGUACUAACACAUCUUCAACUAUUCCUCUAGGUACUUUUACAGAUCUAUCGGCAAGUAAAAGAGUUACAGAAGUUGGUUUUAACUCACCUAGAUUGAGACUUUGAAAAACUGAAUAUGGAAGUAAAUUCACACUAGCCCCAAGAUCAAGUAAAGCUCUUUCAAUUUUAUGUUCUCCAAUAAAGCAUGAAAUUAUAGGACAACCAGGGUCUUUAUAUUUCAAAGCAUUAUUGUUUUGAAGAAUAGCACUUACUUGUUCGGCUAAGAAGGCUUUCUUUUUCACAUUCAAUUUUCUCUUCACAGUGCACAGAUCUUUCAAAAAUUUAGCAUAAGAAGGAACCUGUUUAAUAACAUCCAGCAAAGGUAUAUUGAUCCUUACCUGUUUGAAAGUUUCAAAGAUUUCAGAGUUGUGAUUGACUUUCCUUUGUUUGGUCAUGGCAUGAGGAAAUGGAAGUGCUGGCGGAGAAUCAGUCUUUUCUUUGUAAUGAUCAGAUUCAACCCCUUCCUUACCCUCAGAGAUUGACUCAUCAUCAUUCUCACAAGGUUCAAGACUGGGGUUUUCAAUAAUCUUACCACUGCGAAGAGUGAUGACUGAUUUGGCUUGAUCCAUGUGUUGGCUUCCAGAACUACUUGCAUUCGCAUUGUAUUGCCCCUUUGGAUUUUGUUGUGGUUGAGAUGGAAACUUACCUUUCUCCUGGAAACUGAGAGCAGAUGUCAAUUUUGCAAGAGUAUCUUUAAAAUCUGUCAUGCUUUGAGCAAGUUGAGUGUUGAUCGUCUCUUGCUUUUCCAUGAAUGCAUGCAAUGUUUCCUCAAGAUUUCUUCUAGGAGGUGGAGCAUAAGGAGGUGUAUACCCAUGAGAAUUUUGGAAAUUAUGGUGUGCUUGAAACGGUGGCUGUGAAGUUUGUGCAUUAUUGUUAUCACUCUUCCAAUUGAAAUUUGGGUGAUUUCUCCAACCAGGGUUGUAUGUUUGCGAGUAUGGGUUAUGAUUGGGCCUUUGGAAACUGUUUAAAGCAUGGGCUUGUUCAUGGAGACAUUCCUUAAAAGAAGGCAAAGUUGGACAGUCAUUGGUUGAAUGUUCAUUGGUUUCACAAAUUUGACACACAAUGUCUUGAACAGAUUUUACUUGACCACUCUUUUUUAAUUCUAGUGCCUCGACUUUUCUAGCUAAGGAUGCAAACUUGGCUUGGAGGUCAUGAUCUUCCCUAAGGUUGUACAUACCUCCACUAGAUGUAUGAGGUUGGGUCUUACUUGGUGCCUUAUAAGUUCCUGUAGUGUCCCAAUUUUGCGCAUUUUCAGCUAGCAAGUCUAGGUAUUCCAUGGCUUCAUUAGGGUCUUUAUCCUCAAAAGUUCCAUUGCACAUUAAUUCAACCAUUUGCCUAUCUCUAGGAGUUAACCCUUCAUAAAAAUGUGAAACUAAUCUCCAUGUUUCAAAACCAUGAUGAGGGCAAGUAUUAAGCAAGUCUCGAUACCUAUCCCAACAUUGGUAAAAUGUUUCUCCUGGUUUUUGAGUGAAAGUGAUUAUUUGUCUUUUGAAAGAGUUUGUUCUGUGAGAUGGAAAAAACUUCUUUAAAAAUUAUUGUUGCAUUUCAUCCUAAGCACGAAUGGAUCCAGGUCUCAAAUUUUGUAGCCAUGUUUUAGCUUUAUCUUUUAAUGAAAAAGGAAAAAGCUUUAAUCUAAUGGUGUUCAUGCUACAAUUUGAGUCAUUAUAGGUGUUACAGACCUCCUCAAAUUCCCUUAAAUGCAAGUAUGGAUUUUCUAAAUCUAAACCAUGAAAAGAAGGUAAAAGUUGAAUAAUGCCUGGCUUAAAAUUAAAAUGAGAUGCAUCAGGUGGAAAAACUAUGCAUGAGGGUGCACUUGUUCUUGUGGGAUUCAUGUGGUCUCUAAGUGUUCUAACCCGAAUAUUCUCAUUAUUCUCAUUAUGAAGCGAUUGGUUAUCUUCUUCGGCCAUAUUUUCUGAAAAUGAUGAGGAUACCCUACAAAGUCUACCACUUAAUGUACGUGACCAAACUCUCAUGCACGUGUAAAAAGAGAAUAAAAAGAAGAAGAAAACAAAAGAAAAAGAAACAACACAAAAGAAACAAAGUUAAAUACAAUAAAAGUAAAAAAAAGAAAAGAAAAUAAAUACUAUAAUUUAUACAAGAAUUUACCUCCUUCAUUAAGCUGUCCUACAUCAGUAUGUGCACAACUUCCUAUCACUGCCAUCAUUACCUUCAAAUCUAUAGUUAAUUCCAUUUUUCUAUAAAAGACCAUAUCAUCGGUAUCCAAUGGUUGCCAACUUCACCACGGGUUCGACAUUUUUUUGACGUGUUGGGAUUCGAUACUAAUAAGCGUAUUUUCUUAAGUUGAAAUGGUGCUCCUCAAUCUAGGUUCCAAUGCGUUGAUGAAUCAAAUAAAGGUUGUUAUUUGACCGCGAUUGGAUGGCUCAUAUUUGAUUUAUGGAGCUAUGAUAAGGGAAUCAUGGCUAAUCGUAGAUACUCUCAUUUUUCAGUAAAAGACAAUAUCAUUGGUAUCCAAUGGUUGCCAACUUCACCACAGAUUUAACAUUUCUUUCGCAUGAUAGGAUUUCAAUACUAAUGAGUGUGUUUUCUUAAGUUGAAAUAGGGCUACCCAAUCUAGGUUCAAUUAAGUGGGAUGAUGGAUUAAAGAGUGGUUGUUAUUUGACACUGCAAUUAGAUGGCUCAUAUUUGAUUUAUGGAGCUAUGAUAAGGGAAUCGUGCUUGUAUCACAUAUAACAAUAUUUACAUAGUAACAAGCACUAUUAAAGAUGCUACACCAGUAAGUUACCAAAUGCCAUCUACAAAUAUUAUAACCUCUUAAUUUAUACAAGAAUUGAGCUAAAUUGCAUACAAGCAAUCCCUAACUUUGGUAGUUUCUUUGUGUUAAAAAUGGAGACUUCUUGGUGUUUGCCGGAACUCCAACUUGGGUAUACCUUUUUUGAGCAAGAAACGAGGUAAAAACAUCUUUCAACGAUAUCAAAUCAUUUAUUCAUAUAAAGUAUUAGUGUUGUCAUGUAUAGUGAAACAUUUAAUUUUACUACAUUGAAGAAAAUUCUGAUUUGAUACCAAUGUUGGGAUAUUGCUAUUAUUGGACAACAACUGUGCAGUCUACCCUAAAAAGAGAGGGUUGCCAUUGUCAAUGAUAGUUGCAUUGACAAAAUUGAAUGAUGAAUUAAAGAGCAGUUGUUAUUUGACACUGCAAUUAGAUGGCUCAUAUUUGAUUUAUGGAGCUAUGAUAAGGGAAUCGUGCUUGUAUCACAUAUAACAAUAUUUACAUACCAACAAGCAUUGUUAAAGAUGAUACACUAGUAAGAUGCCACUAUUGGCUUCCAACCAUUCUCCACGUUUCACUUUUCUUCAAGUAUUUUCACCAAAAUAAAGCUUCAACCUUUAACUUUUUGCUUAUAAACUAGAGAUCCAAGGGAUUAUUUAACAUUUUAUGGGAAGCAUUUCAAAUAAUGUUUUUUUCUUUUUGAAAUAUUGUUAUAUACAUAGAAUCAAUAAGAUUAUGUGACAUUCUAUAUUAAUUUUGUGAUAUUUUUAAUCCCUAAAAGUAUGGGUUUCAGACAAAUAAAAACCAAACAAAUAAUUGAAAAAAUUAAAAUUUUUCAAACCAACCCAAUCCAACAUAUUAAUCGGUUUUGAUUUUAUUUGGUUUGGAUAUUUUUUGGCUGAAACAAUUAAUAACAAUUUUCAAAAAUAACUGUUGACAAGCCUUUUACCGAAACCAUGUUCAUUUAUGCUAAAUCAAUCCAAAUCAGGUUUAGGUUUCCAACACAAUCCAAAAUUGAAUGCACAUAAACAAUGGGUUGGUUCAGUUUAUUGAUUUUUAGAAAUGUCAAACUGAAACUGAACCAAAAUAUAUGAAUAUUCUAAUUCAAACGCCCGAAAAAACUGAGAAAAUGAUUGGUUUUGUUUAGUUUGGUUAUAGCAGAUACCCCUAACAAUCCGCUUUUUCACUCGACCUCGAAUAAUAUGCACUAUAAAGUAUAAAAAUAUAUGUGGAUAAUUGAAAAUUUGCUUAGAGUUGCUAAUAAUUCACAACUGCAACAACCAACAUGACCAGGUAAUGCUUGGGAAUGGGAUCAUGUAAUGCCCGGGAAUGGGCCUUGGUGCACAAUCAUGAUUGUAACCAUGAUUUAAAAUCAUUUCCACACUAGACUAUCCAAGACAAUUGGUAUUGGAUUGUUAGCAACAAUUCAGUUUAUAAUAAUAAUAAUAAUAAUGUUGAUUCUUUUAUCUCCUACUUAUUGCAAGUGUCCAUCGUGUGCUGAAAUUGAUUGUUUACCUCAUAUUUCUUUUAAACGUAAGAGAUUUCUUGGUUGACAAUGGGAAAAAGUAAUCGCAUGGUUAUUUUCCAUAAGAUUCAUUUGAGUAAAUAUUCUCUAUUGUUAUGCUGUUCAGAUUUUCUAUCUCAUCAUCCAAUCUGCCAAAAAUAUAAAAGAUCAUGUGCAUGAAUUUGAUACAUGACCAGUGAUGGUUGUUCUAUCCACAAAAUUAGCUAACAUAUGACUAUUUUAUUCAACUACCGUUUCAGGAUAUGAGUUCUCCUAGGCCACACUCAAAAGCCCUAGCCGCUAUAUGAACAAAGCACCUAAAAAAUUAAUCACCUACCUAAUCCAAUUCAGGAAAAUUUGGUCAAUAUCUCCUAUGAUGAAACGAGUUAAUUGAAUGCAUAGACAGGAAACACACACACACCCCUGAUCAUAAAUUUCCUAAAAAAUUUCUGAAUUGGAACAAUGGUAAACGACAAAGAUUGACAAUAUCAUCACAUUAAAAAUGCAUUUCACUCAAAACAAAUAAAAGCAAUAAAAUAAUUUGCAAGAAGCUAAUAGAGAAUAAAGUAAUUAAAACGCAUUACAGAAAAGUAAUUAAAACCCAACAACUAAAACUGAGAAAUUUUAAAGCAUUCCAAGAACGGCAACCAAAUGCAACAUAAUCAACCUGCAAAAACAAACACAAAAAGAAUUAGAAGAAGAAACCUUAUUAGUUAAUAAGUUAAAAGCAGCAGCAGCAAAAACACUCAAAUUUUAGGUAUUUGGACUUGAGAAAAAGCACUGAACCCUCUGUGAAAAUGCCAUGAAAGGGGUGCUAAAAAACCAGGAAAAUAAAAACUUUUAAAAGGGUGUUUUUACAAAGCAAGAAAGAAGCUAGGGAUUGUGAAAGAGAAGGAAGCAAACAAGCCUACCCUUUGAAACCCUGUUUGUUAAUUGUUUUCUCUCCUUUGAAGUGAAAACAAAAAUAGAACAUAAAAAUCAAAAAACAAAGAGCACCAAGAAAAUCGAUUCAGAAAUAUUUUAUGUUGUUGUCUUGGACAGACGCAGAUAUCGAGGAACAGUUGUGGGGCCACCAUUGGUGAGCAGUGACAUAGUGGCAAGUAUGUGAAAUAACGCUUAUUACAGUGCGCAAUGAUAGAGUGAGUCUGGGUAGACAAACUUUCGGUGGUACACAUGGUGCUUAAUGAUUUGACGGUUAUAAAGAGAAGUUACAUGAGGGAAAUAAGUUGGAAAAGGUGGCCUCUCUAGAUUUUGGAAAUUUUCUCUGAAGAAAGAAGAAAAGAAAACAAUCUCAAAGGUGGAUAAAAACGGGGUAAAUAUCAUAUUUGGAACAUAAUCUUGGCUGGUGAAGCAUAACAUGGAAAUUCUGAGGGGAAAUCUAGGGGAAGCCCAGUGAGAUUUUAGCUUAGAUUUUAUGAUUUUUAUAUAAUCAUAAAAUUAUAAUUAUAAAAUUUAGAAUUCAUCAUCUAAUAUUAAUUAAGAUUAUUAAAAAAUUUAUAGUUUACGAGAGUUUGAUAAAAAAACUGGUUGUGUAAGGAAAAAAAAUAUUAUUCUUAGUGUACCCUACUUAAAAUAAGUUACAUUGUUAUUUAAUUAUUUUUUAGGUCAUGUUUCUAUUCUUCGAUCUUUUUUAACAUCUAAAGUAGAUCUUCUUUUGUGAGAGAGUUUUUAUUAGGUGAAAUAAUAACUAUUUUCAAGUUCAAAUUAUAGCAUUGUAUUUAUUUUCAAAUACAACUAAUUCCUAACAUUUCAAACAUAAGGAUUGUUAAGGUUUUUUUUAUAUUUUGGUCAAACCCUAAUGAAUAAUCUUAAAUUGAUUAUGAUAUUUAUUUUUUUAUUUUUAAAAUAUGAGAAAGAUACAUUUUUUGUUUUUAUAUUAAGAUACACUUGAAAUUUUUUUUAAGAUUUGGCCGUAUGCAAAACAAAACAUUUUUUUGAAGUGAAAAUGUAUUUUUUGAAUUUUCAAUUUAUUUUUUUAUUUGUUUAAUCUUUUUAAGAUUUCAGAGAAAACUAGCUAUUUUGAUGAAGUUUAAUUUAGUCAUUUGAUUUUUUAUUUCUCUCAAGUACACCCUUCAUUGAUUUCAAACUUUUAAUUUUAUGCAAUUUCAUCCCUAAAAAACUUCAAUAUCAACCCUAGAUUUCAGCUCGUUUUUCACAUUAGUCCCUGGUUUCAAAUUUAUACAAGUUGACCCUUAAUUGACCAUUAAACUUUAAAUUUUCUCUAAUUUUAUCCCUAAUUUUAAUCAAUUGGGUCCUUAUAGUUCGGUGUCAUUUACAAAUUGGUCCUCAGCUAUGAAUUUCUUCAAUUUAACCAUUAACUGACCACAAAACUUUGAUUUUUCUUACGAUUUCACCCAUGAUUUCAAUCAAAUGACUUGGUAAAAAUUAAAUUUGGUCUCCUAAAAUUCCAACCUUCUCAAUUAAGCACAAAUUGGGUUCCCAAACUAAAUGUUUCACCAAUUAAGCUUUUAAUAAAAUUAAUUUAACUCAUUUAAAGUAUAAUUAAGUCCUUGCAUCUAAUUAAAUCUAUUAAUUGGACCCAAAUUAAUUCUUAAAAAUAAUUAAAUUUCAAUUUGGCCCAUGAUUAAAUCAAAUUGGUUUAUUAAAAAUCUAAUUAUAUUUUUAGGCUUGAUUAUCAAGUAGAUUUGUCCAAUAAUCAUUUAAUUUGCCCCUGAAUCUACAUUGUCUUUCUAGUUUUGGGUGUAAUGGGGUACAUUUAGGCUCCUAAUCCUAUCCAAAGUUGUAGCUUGCUUUGAAAUCCUCCCUAGCUUGCUUUUGCCAAAAUGUCAGUCCUUAUUUUAUUUAUUCUAUUUUUUUUUUAUUUUGAAAAGAAAAAAGAUGAAUUUGAGGAAUAACCUAGAAAUGAGUUAUGACAAUGAGAACUCUACAUUAUGUGAUUUUAUUUUUAAAGGUAUUCUUAUACAUUUAUAAUUAUAAGAAACUUUAAAAGAUGUGGGUAAAAUAUUAUUUUCACACCACUGUUCACCUGGUAUUGUGGAUUGCCACAAUGUUUUUUUCAUCCUGUUCUUAUAGGUCUAAAUUAAUAGAUAAUUUGAGUAAAUUUGUUAAGGAAGAGCAAAGUUUAAACACAAAUAACCAAAGUGAAAGCAAAAUGCAUAAAAAAGGAUGGUAGUUUUAAGAUUGAAGCCAAGUUCACUUUGGUCCUCUUACUUUUUAAAUAAUCACCUUUUAGUCCCUUAAGUUUUCCCACAUUUUAUUUUUGGUCCACAACUUUUUUUUCUUUAUUUUUUUUUCAUAUCUUAGUUUGAGAGAAGAGACAGAAAGUCAUUGGAUUACAGUGUUAGAGAGAGUCUCAGUUGUCACUGAUUCUUAUGACAAAAAACGAUCGAUUUUAGUCUUAAUAGGUUCCAUUUGAUGAAGAAAGUUCUUUUGAGGUGUUUUUUGUUCUGGAAAUUUCCAAAACUUUUAUGAUUUUUUGGGCUAAUUUAUUGGUUUAUUUACAUUAUAAGGACCAUUUUUAGAUGCUUUGGUGUGAACUUUGUUUAAAUUUGCAUUUUUAGGUCAAAAAACACCCUACAUGAUUUUCUAGCCACCCCUUUAAUGGUCGAGAACUUGAAAGUCUCAGUAGGUGAGAUGUCGUUUCCCUUUAUAUUUUUUCAAAAAUAUUUAGGGCAUUUUCAAAUAAAAAAAAUAAGGCUCACGUAAGCUAGCUCUUUUUAAAACGGGCUUCAUGUGCGGGCUUGACUUGAUAGGCCUAAAAGCACCUAACCUAUUUUUUUUUGUAAUUAUGUUUUUUAAUUGAUAAUAAAAGAAGAAGAAAAGUGUGCAUUAAGGGAAAAGUUGAGGUUAAAUAUGAUAUUUAUCUAUCCUUUACUUUCAUGAAAAUGAUUAUCAUUUUAUUUUUUAAUUUAAUUGGCAUUAACAACUCUUUAUCAGUUUAUUAGUUCAUAUUUUUUUUAAGAUUUAUUUUGUUUCACAUUUCUCAAUUAAGAGAAUCAUGAUACAAUGAAAUGCAUUUGAAACACCGUCCCAUUUUUCUACUACAUUAAAAAUUAACUUCCAACAUGUGGCGCGUUGCGUUAACAAUUGUUAUUGUAUUUAUUAAUAUAUACGAUCCUUAGUUUAUUUAUAAACAACAACUUUUUUUAUUCACAAUUAUAUUUUUUCUCUCAAUAUCAAAAAAUACAUUAACAACACUUAUACAUCCAUUCUUUUGUGUUGGAAAACAUUAUCUGACCCAUAGCAAAGUGAGUUAAAUAAACACGUCAAUACAUUUUUUUGUAUUUAUGAUUUGGGGUUUUUUUUUGUUAAAAAUACAUUUGAAAAACAGAACGAGCACAUUUAGAUCAUACUGGGGUAAUAUUGUUCGAAGAAAAUCAUGAUCUAAGUGAAAUCUAGAAGCAAUUAGAGUAAAGAUGUGCCUGAAGGACAUCUUCAUAUUGUCAUUUGGGUUUACCCUCUGAAACAUUGUUAUGACUCCUGGAAGAUGUUAUCACAUGGCUGUUUUUUAAUGAAUGUUGGAAGGAUGUACACCACCAAGACUAACGGUGGAACAAAGAUGUACCUGAAGGACAUUUACAUAUCGUCAUCCUUUGAAACAUGGUUUUCGACAGAUGUAAUCACACAAUUGCAUUGAAUGAAUGUUGGAAAGGUGCCUACCCCAAAGACUAAAUGUGGGACAAUUUGUUUUGAAAUUAUAUGUGCACUUCAGCGCAUGAGUAUGGGUGAUAAAAGCAACAUCAUUGAUGAGGUGGAGACAUUUCUUUUCACAAUCUGAUUAGAAGAGCUGAGAGGAAUCUAUUGAGAAGAACACUAAGCAUACAACCGUGAGCCUUUGUACUACAAGCUAUGAGAUGCAUGUCUGGACGAUUGGAUAGUUUCCAAGAAGACUAAUGAUAACAUAUACUUGAAGAGUAUUGUUUCAACUGGGGGUAAGUCCAUGACUGAUUGACAAUCUAAAAUGAGGUUAAACACUAGAAAACCUCUUGACGGGUGUUGGCAAAACACACACAACCAAUCAAAGGAUAAUUAUUGAGAGAAUCUAGGAGAUAGAUGAUUUGUUCAACUCCUUCAUGAUGAAUCGAGCAACACCACACUUGGAAGCAUGGUCAAGCUUGACAAGCAAUGAGAGUAGUAAUAGUCACGAACAACCCACAAUAGGCAUUGCACUUACAUCUGAGUGGAAGGCUAGCACACGAAUGAGUCAGUACAUUGAAAGAAUAAAGAAAGCUUUUAAUAGCAAACAAAGACAACCUGUGAUGAUGGAACAUCGAAGACGGGAGACCUAUAUUUCAAAUCAGGUAAGGAUGCAUGCAUGCCAUCUAACGUCAAAGCAUUGCAUAUAUUUUUUAUUUGUUAUAGGAAAAUCCUUAAUGUAGUCCAGCAAGAUUGAGGACAAAGAAAGAAUCAUUUAGUUGAUGAACAACAAAGAAUCAUGGUUUUGACCUUACAAUCAAGAAGAAAAGUGAGAAAAACCCUACUAUUAGGAAAUUCUCAAAGAAAAAGAAAGUCCAAGCAUUGUCAACAAGAAGCACAAACAGAUUUUGGUUCUGGUUAAAGGAGAUCGGCGAAGGGAUCUCAGUUUAGCUUAACCACACACAUAGAAUUUUGGGUUCUGGUUAAAGGGGAUUGGCGAAAGGAAUCUCAGUUUAGCCUAACCACACACAGGAUUUUGGUUCUAGUUAAAGGAGAUUGACAAAAGGAAUCUCAGUUUAUCCUAAUCACACAGGAUUUUUUGUUCUGGUUAAAGGGGAUUGGCGAAAUGAAUCUCAGUUUAGUCUAACAACAAAGAGAAUUUUAGUUCUGGUUAAAGGGGAUUGGCAAAAGGAAUCUCAGUUUAGCCUAACCACACAGAGGAAUUUGGUUAUAGGUAAAGGGGAUUGGGGAAAGGAAUCUCAGUUUAGCCUAACCACACAAAGGAUUUUGGUUUUGGUUAAAGGAGAUUGGCGAAAGGAAUCUCAGUUUAACCCAACUACACACAUGACUUUGGUUCUGGUUAAAGGGGAUCAGCGGAAGGGAUCUCAGUUUAGCCUAACCACGCAUAAUUUAACUUUGGUUAUAGGGAAUCGCUAGAUGAGAUUUCAGGUUGACCGAGCUACAAACCAAUUUUGGUUCUUGUUAGAUUGCUAGAUGAGAUCUCAGGUAAAUCCAAUCAAAAGGGCAGGUUGCCCUUGAAAAUAGAUCAAAGUGAGUAUGUGUGGGCAUGUCGCCCAUAAAAAUAGACUAGGGUAAGUGUGUGUGGGUCGGUCGCCCCUGAAAAUAAACCACUUUGAGUGUGUGUGGGCAGGUCAACUGUGAAAAUAGACCACUUUGAGUGUGUGUGGGCAGAUCGUUUGUGAAAAUAGACCAGUGUGAGUGUGUGUUGUGUGGGCAGGUUGCCCAUGAAAAUAGACCACUUUGAGUAUGAGGUCACUUGUGAAAAUAGACCAGUGUAAGUGUGUGUUGUGUGGGCAGGUUGCCCGUGAAAAUAGACCACUUUGAGUAUGAGGUCACCCGUGAAAAUAGACCAGUAAGAGUGUGUGGGCAGGUCGCUCAUGAAAAUAAACCACUGUUGAGUGUGUGUGGGCAGGUCGCCCAUGAAAAUAGACUAGCAUAAGUGUGUGGGCAGGUCGCCCAUGAAAGUAGACCAAUUUUCUUUAAAAAGAACAGGUCGCUCAAGAUAAUGAGAUUAUUUUAUUUUUGUUUUCUUUACAAAGCUUACCAUGCAAAACAUUGAGGAGCUUUGCUUCGUAAGCAUUGUAAAGAGAGGGCAUAUGUUGCUACCCAAUUUUUAACCUAUCUUUUUGUUAAGUUUUUGAAAAUUCUAUUAUCCGGAAGAAAGAAAGUAGUAGUAAUAUAAAAAGGCACCGAAAGUACAGAUAUCCUCACAAUGCCACAUUUCUACAAAUUCUAUUCUCUGGAAGAAGCCGUUUUGCUGCUCAUGAUCAGAAAACAAUACUGUAUUUUUUAAAACCUCCACUCUCCUAAAAACAAUUUGAGACACAGUAGGAAACAACUGCUCCAAUAUCUUUGCAUUUAAGGACGUGGCGCUUGUAUUAUCCAAAUGUAAUCUUGUCAAGGUUGGGUAUCCUACUGGAUCCCUUAUAAAUGGAUUAUAAUUCCCUAAAAUUAUAUCAUAUUUGAGCAGUCUGGGAAAACAAAAUCUCUGGGAAUGCUUUCAACCUCCGGUAUCCUCAAUGAUAAUACAGCUAAAUGAGACAACGAAUUUAGUUCUGUUAGGCUUGCAUUCAUUCCUCCUGUGCUGUCAUAUCCAUCAACAUCCCAUCCCUCAAAGCUGUAAUCCCCGAUCAACAGCUCUUCUAACUUCUUCAACCUUCCAAUCAAAUUCACAGGGAUCCUUCUUAGCCUUUCACAACCUGUCACAUCCAACAACCUUAACUCCUUGAGCUCUCCUAUUUCAUCAAGUAAUUCUUCAAUGUCUAAGCACCACUGAAAAACAAGAAUCUUAAGUCUCUGCAGCUUUCUCAACCAAAUGAGGUCCUUACAUUCACACUCCAUCAACACCAACGAUUGAAGUUUCGUUGAGAGUUCAAGUGACUGCAGUGACAAGCACCCUCCUUUCAGAGACAAAACUUCAAUUUCUUUCAUCCCUUCAAAAAACCUCUGAGGAACAUUCAAACCAUCAUCCAGUUCUAAUAAUAGAACUUUGAGUUGUUGACACACCAAUCCUUCAGGAAGUUCUGCUAGUUUAUUGCCCAUUAACGAAACAAGUCAUGCAUUUUCACAUGCUCUUCAGUUUCAGUGCCCAACAGCAUGCAACAAUCUUUGAGGUUUUCGAUUGCCACAGAAACUCGUUUCCUUGCACCUUCAGUGGGCUCCUUAUCUUGAUGUAACCCAUAGCCAACUGCAUAUCUCGUCAAGUCCUCAAUUGGAAUGUCAUAAUCUUCUGGAAAUAAACUGCAUAGCAAGAAACAUAACUUGGUUUCCUC